rnacentral:lncRNA from 1 species
AAACAAAAACUAACCCAUAAAUUAAUGAAUAAAGGUAUAGUUUACCUAUAUAUAUAUAUUAUCAUAUCACCAUAGGACUUUUUAAAGCGGAAUCAAAUGCAUUUAUAAUAUAACCAUUAUCUUUUUGAAAGAAUAAUAUAGCUAUAUUUAAAAACUUUUUAAAAACAAACUAAGAGAAAAAUACAAGAUAAUUAAUAUGAUAAAUUUGAUUUGAUAAUUUACUUGUCUAAGGCUUCAAAUUUAUUAUUUUGAUUUUUUUUAAAUAUAUAAUUUAGUAUGUUUUCUAAAGAUUUUUAAAUAAAUUUUAAUGAUUUUUUUGAAUUUAUAUAUAUUAUAAUUUUUUUGAGAGUGACCAAUUUGCACAUUUUCAAAACUAUUAGGGAUCCAAGGGCUAUUUACAUUAAUUUUUUAUUCAAGUUAUUCGAAUGAUUCAAUUUGUAAAAUUCUCAACUCGAACUCAAAAAAUUGAAUUAUUUAUUCGAGUUGGUUAAAAAACCCGAAAAACUCGAUUCAAUUAACUCAAAUUUAAAAAAAAUCGAUUUUUUUAAAUAAAAUCGAGUUUUGCUCAACCUUAUGGCAUAGUGAUCAAGCUAUUAAUAUUUAGAUUUUAUUUUAAUAAAACAUUUGAUAUUUGAACUUGACAUUUUUUUUUUCUAAUUUGAGACCUAAUCUUUUUGGUGUGUCCAAUUUGGUACUUAAUCUUAUAAAAUGUUAUACACAUUACUCUAAAGCACUAAUGUUGUUAAUUAUUCUUAUGAGAGGAGAAAAAUAGCUAAUAUAUAAUCGACAUGUAGCAAAUGACAUGAAAUUUAAUGACAUGAAUGACUACAUUUAUUUGAAGUUUCCUCUCUUUCGCUAAAUAAUAUUCUCAAAUUUUAUUUUUUAUUAGGACUAACAUUACUUUAACUAUUAAUGACAAGAAUAAUUUAAGAGGGACUACAUGUUUAAAGUAAAGUUUGGUCUUCACAAAGCUUCCAAUUCCUAAAAAAAAAUCAUCUCCUCCAAUAUUAUAUGGUAACAGCAAGAAAUUCUUUGACCUUGAAUCAGGGUAUUUAAAAAUAACAGGUUGUCCCGGCUCUAUACUACCAAGAAUUCCUAACUAUGGGAACAAGUUCAUCUUUGAAAUAUUUUUCCGAAAUAUUUUUCCCUUUCAAUAUUUUUCUAUUGAAGCUUCCCUUGUUUCUUUUAUCGAGCGAAUCCUCCAAUUCAAAAACAUAUUCUCUGUUUUUCAUAAAUUAUUUUAUCAUAACCAGAGACAAAUAUUUUGGGAAAAUUUAAAAGUUAGGUAAUACAUAAUUCCACUGUAUGCAUUCCAGUAAAUGUGGGCUUCACCAACUAUGACACUGGAAUCAACAUACACUUGGCCAAAAUUUUGGAAACAGUCAUUGUGACAUUGGAACAUAUAAGCAUCUGCCAUGGGAGAAAGCCAACCAAAAUUUACGUCAUUUAACUUAAAGUCACCUAAAACAGAAUACAAGAUGGUAAAGUACUAAUGUGUUCUGCUUCCCUGAAGGCGAGAAAUGUCACCGCAGCAUUAGACACAAUAAUCUUUUCGGGUUUUAUUUAUAUUACUCGAAAUAUUCAUAUUUAAUCUAUAUACGACUAUAAGAAUAUAAUCUUUCAAAUAUAUAAAAAUUUUAGAAAAGAAAAUAUGUAUAUAAAUAAUCCAAAACAGCAUAAAUACACCCAUUCUUCAUGAGUUUGCAUCCUUGGGAUCGAAUGGUGUUGUCAACUUAUUUAGUAAAUUCAUAAAUUGCUUGUGCCAAAAAUUCUACUUUGAUGCUGGCCAUCCACCUAGUUUUCCAGCAGCAACGAUUUGACAUAUAACUAAACCAUUGAUAAAGAUAUCUCAACCAAAUUAGCACCAUGCCACCCUCAUAAUUCAUCCAGGGCCCGGCCUCCAUCAACCAGUCCUUUCUGCAACUGAUAACUGUCCCUUCCAAUUUUGUAAGCACCCAGGAGAAUAUCUUAAAUCUUAAAAAGGUGCACCAUAUCAUAUCCACAAAAACACUAGCUAAUGGUGAUUCAUAUGAAAUGAUGAGUCCAUUGAAGAGUCUGAGGAAAAGAAUAUCAUAAGUCAUAUAUGCAUGACUAUAGUUAAGCUGCAAUUUGAUUAAAGACUUGUAGUCCUUAAAAGUUUUAAGCAACAAAAGUUUCAUGCAAAAAGAUAUUGCUUGAGAUUAACUAGAACAGCAAUUAAGAAGAUGAAAUAUAGGACCAUUUCAUUAAUGCAGUAAUAACACUGCAUAAGGUGUGCAAAUGUGUAUGAUAAAAGAUGAUAAUAAUUGUUAUGAAUAGCCAUCUCGCCUAAGGAGCCUCCUUGUGAUGAUAAUAAUUGUUAUGAAUAGCCACCUUGCUUGAGGAACGUCCUUGUCAGCAUAGACAGCAUGAUGGUCCUCGCCUAAUUUAAGAUGGUAGGACUGUUCUUAAAGGUUACCUUAUUUAGAAGGUUUUAAGGAAAGAGUCACUUCACCAACAUCGAUUUCAUUUGGGAGUCUCUCACCCCUAAUGAAUCAGCUUUCUUUCUGGAUAGACACCUGUCACGGGCAGCACCAAGGGGCCGGCAGGAGCCAAAGGCCCCCUAAAAUGGAAAAAUAUCACAUUGACCCUUUUAUGUUUUAUAAAAUUAUAAGUAAAUGAUGCAUCGAAUUUCAUAUCCCAUUAUGAACCCUAAUAUUGAGUUAUUGACAAUAUAGGUCUCACUUUUCUAUAAAAAAAGAAAAAGAAAAAGGGUAUCAGCAGUUGCCAAUAACUUUGAUGAGACUAAAGGCAUGGCUGAUCAGUUUCAAUUUAGCAAGAAAGUUACGAUUCUGCCAAAAAGGUAGCAGCAUUUGCCAAUAACACUUUUUUACGGGCAUUCAAUAGCUCAAUCAAGGAGACCACAGCACACCCUUUUUCCAUGCCACCACCUGGAGUCUUAACAGGAUAACUGUCAUGGCAUCCAUAGACUUAGAGGAUUGAGUGGAGAAUGAUAGAAGAAAAGAGGCUUCAUCACUAACCACAUUUAAGAACUCUUUCAUGAAAGGCUUACAAUGUUGAGAAGUUAAUGUAGUUAGUAGUUAGCAAAAUUAGGCAGUUACAAGAUUAGUUAGUUAGUUAAACAAAUAGUCUAUAAAUGUAAACAUACUCUGUGUAUUAAACAAGUAAGAGAGAAUUUUUUUCAACAUGGUAUCAGAUGCUAUGGUAGUCGUUUUUUCUGAUAAUUCUUUGCUGUUUUUUUCUUAAGCUAGUUAUUGGGCUGGUAUCUGUAGCCCAAGUUCGAUAGUUCUAGCAGUUUUUGGUUUGUUCUCUAGGGCACUUUUCAUUUGUGUCUUCGACGUUUUUUGGAUUGCUGGUUAUCUUUGUUUUCUUUUUGGGUUCUUUCGGUAACAAAGAAGAUGAGUCUCUCUGAUUCUGUUCUUGAUUUCAAUCACCCGUGUUAUCUUCAUCCAUCAGAUACUCCGGGUACAUUGCUCGUCGCUCAUCAGUUGACAGGUGUUGAGAAUUACACUGUUUGGAGUCGGACGAUGAGAAUUGCGUUAUUGGCAAAAAACAAGUUGGGAUUUGUGGAUGGCACCUGUUCUAAAACCAUGGUACCGGAGGAUAUGGGUCAUCAGUGGGAGCGCUGCAAUGCGAUUGUCCUUUCUUGGAUUCUAAAUACUGUUAGUAAAGAACUCUCGGCGGGGAUUGUUUUUGCGUCCAGUGCGGCAGCAGUUUGGAACGAUCUUAGUGAACGAUUUCACAAAAUUGACGGUUCAAGAAUUUAUUUCUUGCAUCGUGAAAUUACUACCUAUUCUCAAGGUACGGUCUCAAUCUCUGCCUAUUUUACCAGAUUGAAGUUACUUUGGGACGAAUAUGAUGCCCUUGUACCACCGGUUUCUUGUGAUUGUGGUCAGUCUCGAUAGAAUGAUGUUCAUGUUGGACAGCAGCGUUUAUUCCAGUUUCUUAUGGGAUUGAAUGAGUCAUAUAGUGCUGUGCGUAGUCAGAUUUUAUUGAUGAGUCCUUUACCGUCUGUUAAUCAUGCGUACUCGAUGAUUAUGCAAGAAGAGUCGCAGAGAAAGCAUAGUUCUAGUAAUGUUGGGGAUGACUUGGUUCCUUUUUCUUCAGUUCAGAUGGUACAGAAAAAACGAUUUAAUGGUAUUUGUGACCACUGCAAAGUUAAGGGACAUAAAAGAGAGACUUGUUAUAAACUCAUCGGUUAUCCUGCAGAUUUUAAGUUUACAAAGAGGAAAAUGAAUGUUUCUUCUUCUUCGGCAGUGAAUAAUAUUUCUACCCCUGACUCUGCUUGUAGUAGUGAAGUACUGGACUCUAGUGGGUCAUGUCCGACAGCACCUAUGUUUACACAAGAUCAAUAUAACCAGAUCAUGCGUUUGUUGAAUAAAGACCCUGUUGUCGUUGAAGCUGCUACCAGUAUAGCAGGUAUGGUGGAUCUUGGUAACAAAUGGAUCAUUGACACUGGGGCCACUGACCAUAUACUGUCGGAUCUUCAUUUCUUGGAAUCUCCUGUUGCAUGUCCAUUAGGGUCACCAAGUGUUAGGCUUCCAAAUGGGUCUUCAGUCUCCGUUACUCAUACUGGCACUUGCACAAUUUUACCUAACCUUUCAUUGACAAAAGUUCUUUAUGUUCCGAAUUUUCGUUACAAUUUACUUUCUGUUUCCAAACUUACCACCGAUCUUCAUUGUAUGGUUUCUUUUUAUCCUCAUUUUUGCCUUAUACAGGAUCUCUCCAGUGGAAGGAUGAGGGGGAUUGGUAAAGCACGAGGUAGUCUUUAUAUCCUGGAUCUGUCUCAACAGACUAUGGUUUUACCUCCUUCUUUUGUUACAAUGGCUUCUACAGAUUCAUCCAUGGCUUCUACAGAUUCAUCCAUUCUUUGGCACCAUAGACUUGGUCAUGCAUCGGUUUCGAGACUGAACAAGGUUCCUAUUUUUUCUUGUACAAAAUCUGCUGUUGACAGUAUUCAUAAGUGUCCUGUUUGUCCACUAGCUAAACAAACCAGACUUCCAUUUCCUAUUCAUAAGUCUCGUGCUAAUACUGCUUUUUCUCUUAUGCACAUUGAUUUGUAGGGACCUUAUCGAGUUUCUACUCAUAGUGGUCAUAGGUUUUUUUUAACGAUUGUUGAUGAUUACACACGAAUGACUUGGGUUUAUUUGUUGCGCUCUAAGAGUGAUGCUCUUAUAUGUCUCAAACAAUUUUUUGUGUUGGUUAAAAAUCAAUUUUCUACUGUAAUCAAAACUGUUCGUAGUGAUAAUGGGUAUGAAUUCUUUAAAAAUGAAUGUACUGAAUUUUUUAAUAUGUCUGGAAUUGUUCAUCAAAGUUCAUGUGUUUAUACUCCUCAACAAAAUGGAGUUGCUGAACGAAAGCACAGACAUUUACUAGAAGUCGCCCGAUCCUUAAAAUUUCAGUCUCACGUGCCUAGCAAAUUUUGGGGUGAGUGCGUUUUAACUGCCUGUUUUUUGAUUAAUCGUCUUCCUACGCCUAUUUUAAGCUGGAAAUGUCCUUUUGAGCUAUUGUAUCAUAAGUCACCUGAUUUUUCUCGAUUAAAGGUCUUUGGUUGUCUAGCUUAUGCUACUAAUCCUAGCUACCAUGAUAAAUUUUCUCAUAAGGCUAUUCCAUCUGUAUUCAUGGGUUACUCUCUUGUACAAAAAGGAUACUUGCUGUUUAGUCUUGAAACCAAAACCUUUUUUGUUAACCGAGAUGUUGUUUUUCAUGAAACCAUAUUUCCUUUUAAGAUUCCCACCAAACCGGUUUUGCCUUUUCCUGAUGUUGAUCCUUCUAUUUUUCUACAACUUGAACCUUCCUCUUCCUUGUUUAUUACAUCUUCUUCAUCCUCUUCAUCUUGUGUACCCGAGCCAUCUUUUAACCUUUCUAUGCCUACUGCUGUUCCUUUACGACGUACUACGAGGUCUGUUAAGCAGCCUCCUUGGAUGAAGGACUACGUCUGCUCUAACCAAUCGUCCACUUCUUGUGCCACAAGUUUGUUUCCUAUAGUUGCUGUUUAUUCUUCUUCUCAUUUGCCUAUUCAUACUCAAUUGUUUACUGCUCAUGUUUCUUCUUUACUUGAACCCCGUACUUAUGAUGAGGCCCUUUUGGAUCCUCGGUGGGUUGAUGCCAUGCAAAAAGAGAUUCAAGCUUUGGAGGCUAAUGGUACAUGGGAGAUUGUUCCUUUACCGCCUGGCGUUGUUCCUAUUGGCUGCAAGUGGGUUUACAAAAUUAAAUAUGCUUCUGAUGGUUCGGUGGAACGCUUUAAAGCACAGCUUGUUGCUAAGGGUUAUAAUCAAAAGGCUGGUAUUGACUUUCAUGACACUUUUUCUCCGGUCGUUAAACAUGUCACGGUUCGAACGGUGAUAAGCAUGGCAGCCAUUCAUAACUGGCCUCUUUUUCAGAUGGACGUAUACAAUGUGUUCCUUCAAGGAGACCUAUUCGAAGAAGUUUAUAUGGAAAUUCCAGUUGGUUUUCGCAGCCAGGGGGAGUCUCAUGUAUGUCGUCUGUGUAAAUCGUUGUAUGGUCUGAAGCAAGCGUCCAGGCAGUGGAACUCGAAGCUUACAGAGGCUUUAAUACGAGGAGGAUAUGUACAAAGUAAAUACGACUAUUCCUUGUUCACAAAGAGGGAUGGAGGUAACAUGGUUGUUCUACUCAUAUAUGUGGAUGAUUUAUUAAUUACAGGCAGCAGUGCUAGCAUGAUAGAUGAAUUGAAGCAGUUUCUGCAUUUGAAUUUUAAGAUGAAAGACUUGGGUGUAUUGAAGUUUUUUCUUGGAAUUGAAAUAAUGAGAUCAAAUAAAGGGAUUAUAUUGAAUCAAAGGAAAUAUGCUUUGGAGUUGAUAGCUGAUUUGGGAUUAGGAGAAGCGAAGUCAGUAUGUACACCGCUGGAACAGAAUUUGAAACUCACAUCAAUUGAGUAUGAUGAGUCGGUACAAACAAAGGUGGAUGGAGAUGAUUUAGUCACGGAUGUUACAAUGUAUCAAAGGUUAUUGGGAAGAUUGAUAUAUUUGACAAAUACACGACCAGACAUAACGUUUGCGGUUCAACAUUUGAGUCAGUUCAUGCACAGACCAAAAAAAUCGCAUUUAGAAGCUGCUUUUCGGGUGGUACGAUACAUAAGGAAAAAUCCUGGUCAAGGUAUUCUAUUAUCUGCAGCAAGCAAGACACAGUUGAUUGCUUUUUGUGACUCUGAUUGGGCUUCAUGCCCCAUGUCUAGGAGAUCGGUGACUGGUUUCUGUAUAAAAAUUAGAGAAUCCCUUGUUUCGUGGAAGUCAAAGAAACAGACCACAGUUUCCCGAUCAUCGGCAGAAGCGGAGUAUAGAAGUAUGGCAGUGGUUGUAGCAGAGGUUGUAUGGUUGAACGGUUUAUUGAAAGAAGUUAGUCCCAAUCAAUUUGAUAAAUCAUUAGUUCUUUCAGACAGUAAAGCAGCGUUGCAAAUUGCUGCUAAUCCCGUUUUUCAUGAGCGGACAAAGCAUAUAGAGAUUGACUGCCAUUUUGUAAGAGAUAAAAUCAAGGAUGGAACGAUUCAGAUGCAGCACAUUAGAACAACCGAGCAACUUGCUGAUUUGAUGACAAAGGCCUUGAGCAUCAAACAACAUGAGUUUUUAGUAUCCAAGUUAGGGGUUAAAGAUAUAUAUCAACCCUCAACUUGAGGGGGAGUGUUGAGAAGUUAAUGUAGUUAGUAGUUAGCAAAAUUAGGCAGUUACAAGAUUAGUUAGUUAGUUAAACAAAUAGUCUAUAAAUAUAAACAUACUCUGUGUAUUAAACAAGUAAGUGAGAAUUUUUUUCAACAUACAACAGAGUAAAUGAAGCUCUAGAAGUGAUUGAUGAGAUGAACGCCACUUUGGAAGAAGCAAUCACGGAUGAAGAGAUCCACAAUGCGGUCUUUGAGACUAGAUGAGUACUUUAGAAUUUUUUACCAUAAAUUUUGGGAUGUAUUUAAAGAGAAGAACCUAUAGCUCAUAUCGCAAUUUUGUCCAAUUAGCUACUGCACCUUCUCCUGUAUAAGUUAGUCCGUUACCUAUUACAGUCUGUUGAAGUCUUUGUAUAUAUAACAACUAAGAAUAGGCUGUAUAGCUUUUAUACUUCUAAUAAGAUUCAGUUUUCUUCCUCUCUCAUUUUCUCAUGUUUCAUAUAUUGUUAAACAUGAUUCAUUGCUGAGUUUAUUGUCGUUUCACAGUUGUCCAUUAAGCUUUCCAUGAUAGAGAAUAUGGUUGAGUUGCAUAGCAAAAAUUUAAAGCAUCUUCAAAAUAUUAGGACCUUCUCCAAAUAUCUAAAGCAAUAAAUUUGAUCAAAUUAAAUAUGUAUAUGCGAAAGAGUCUAAUGCGAUGGGAAGAUGUCAAAAUUGCAAGUUGCCCUUUGAGAAUAAGAUAGGUUUUUGGGGGGUUUUUUAUCGCUUUAAAUCAAAGUACUUAUAGAUGCUUAAAAAAUAGACUCCAAUAUAAAAUUCAGACAGAGAACAAAUUUAAAAAAACAAAAUCGACAUCACUUUAAACAUUGAAUCUCAAAUUAUAAUUGCUAUAUGUAUGCAAUUAUAACCACUCUCAAAUCUAGAACAAGAAUUGAAGAAAAAUUAAAUUAAAUAUAAAUAUUGAAAUAAAAUUUUCCUAAACCCAAGAGUUUAACUUUAGUUUUGAGUCAUAAAAAAAUCGAACCAAAUGAGUUUUAGUUCCAUUAGGACACCCUAUAAUUAACACCUUAUUUUGGGAUUAAAAAAUAUCUUGGCAAAUAGAUUGAGUUUUAACUUAAUUGGUAUGGGUUUUGUUACCAAUAUAUAAGGAUGUGAGUUGAGUGCGCUGAGCGCAUAUCUUUUUAUUUAUGGGCUAGGAAGGGUUAUAGAUAGUUCUAGACAUUGAGCCGAAAGAGUAAAUAUGAUCAAAAUUUAUAAUAAAAUUAUUUUUAAAAAAAACACCACAUGCCUUGCUUAGCUAAUACAAGUUUGCUUGGGUGGCAAGCAACUUCACCCCAUGUUGGCCACCCUCUUAAAUUACAUCAACAAACAAUCCUAACAUUUAAUUAAAUAAUUAAAUAAUUAAUUAAAAUCUUCAAUUAAAUACAAGUUUGCUUGGGAGGCAAGCAACUUGACCCAUUUUGGCCACCCUCUCUUCAAUUACAUAAAUAAACAAUCUUAACUUUUAAUGAAGUAAUUAAUUAAGUUAAAAUUAAUUUGUAUAACUAAAUAAUUUACCCAAUUCAAUUCUAAUUUUGAUAAAAUCAUAUCAACUUUAGUGUAUUAAAAUUUAUUGGAAAACGUAUUUAAUUAUAGACAGUUUCAAUUCCUAAUCAAAUUAACUACAAUGACUUUAAUUUAAUUUUCACUUUGAUUUAAUUAUUUAAUUUAUUCAGCCAAUUAAAUAAUAAGUCAAAAAAACUAAUUUAAUUCCAUAUUAUCUCUUGUCAUUCCAAGAAAAUGCAAUUAGUAAUUCAUGCUGUAAUCUAUUUAUUUCCAAGAUAUCAUUAAUUAAAUUCUCAAGAAUGAGUGUUGUAUUACUCAUAUUGUAUUAAUAAAUUUUUUUGUUAAAAGAAAUAGAAGUAAACUUUUAAUUACACAAUUCUACUGAAAGUCUGCCCUUAUUCCAGACUAUUGAAUAUCAUUCUCUAGUAAGGUUUGAAAGUGGCUCAACAAAGUAACAUUUCUUAUUCACAUCUCCAUUUGACAUCUUUACUAUGCAAUCUACAACCUUAUUUUGCUCUCUAGGAACAUGCCGAAAUCUAACUUAUCAUUCCUUCAAAAUUAUAGUAUGUAUAAGUCAAACUUCUGAGAGAUUACUGUCAACCGCAUAUCUAUUACUAACCACAUCAAUCAAGAUAGCAUUAUCACUUUCCACUUCAAUUUGUCAAAACCCUUCAUGCCAAGCAAUCAUAAGUCCCUCAUAAAGUGCAUUUGCUUCCAUUUAGAAAAUGCCAUAUCUGUCAAUUCUCUUGCCAAAGCCAAAUAACCAAUUCCUCUCACGAUUCCGAGUCACACUUCCCGCGAGAGUAGAUGAUGUAUGUUUUGGUAUACUGCCAUCAAUGUUACCUUUAACCCACCCGACAAGCGCUGGCUGCCAAUACUCUUUGGUGUAUUCACUGCAGCAACUAUUAUUCAACCUUUCUAAAUUAGAUAUGUUGCGAGCCCAAGCUAUACUAGUUGCUAUCAAAUCCAUGUUACUAUAGCUAGCUCAUUUAAAAAUAAAGUCAUUCCUAUGCUUCCAAAUCAACCAAGAAACAAUUGAAAAUAAAGUUAGCCAUUCACCAUCGAUUGUGGAACUAUAAGGCUUGAGCAAAUUCAUACCAGUCUUCUAAGGAAUAAGAAAAAAAAGAAAGACCAGUCAUGUUGUGGUACCAACGAUUUCCAAAUGUUAGUUGCAAACGGGCAGUCACGGACUACGUGGAGCCCUAUUUCAACUAAAGCAUCACACUGUAGACAACACCCUUUAUCUGUCAUUCUUCUCUUUACCCUUACCUCAUUGGUAAUCUGAGAGGCAUCAUUCUUCCAUAUCCUGGAACUAUGUUCCCACUGCACAAGUUCCCUUUGAUUUAAAAAAUAGCUGUAAGUUGAAGCUGAAGAAAAUUUACCUUUUGACAUCCAUUUCCAAAUCAAUCGAUCAGGACCACUAUCAUGUGAUAGAGGCAUGACUGCAGAGAUAAAGUAAGAAUGGUUUGUGGUAGCUACAAUUCCAGCUAUCUCCAAUUCCAUGAUCCAUUACCCGUUACCACAUUGCAGACUAUCAAGGUCUCAUCAAUAUGGUCCCUUUCGAUGUGCAAAAAUUUUAAAGGCCUAACGUCAUCCACCCAAUUAUCGUUCCAGAAGUUUACUAAGCAGCCAUCCCCAACAGACCAAAUGUUACCAUCUUUAAUCUCAUUCCAGUGAUUAGAAAGAGAGCGCCAAAGAUUCGAACAAUUAUUUUGUUCAAUAAAAUCAGGUAGGAAUCCAUGAACAUUAUAUUUUUUUCCCAACAAGCAAACCCAUAGUGCUUCAGUAUUGGCUAAAAUGUUGUAACCCAUAUUCAAUAAGAAGAUUUUAUUUUGAUCUUGGAGCCUUCGGAUGCCUAAUCCUCAUUUAUCAAUGUUAGAGAUCAAUAGUAUAGCUCAUACAGUUAGUUAGUUAGAAAUUGAAGCUGUUGGUACAGCUAGCAGUUUGUUGAAGAGCGGUUAUGCAAGCUCUAUAUAUACAAUAUACAAUGUACAAAGAAGGGUAAUUCAUGGAUUCAUUCAAGAAACAAAAACAGAAUAAUUUUGCAUUCAGUCUUGUUCAUCUUCAAUUUCAGAAUAGAGAUUAGCUAGUUACAAAGUCAUUUAAAAACCUACCUUCUAUCAUAGUAUCAGUCGCUUGGUGAUCCUUGGCUAUGGCAACCAUACAUUCUACUGACUUCGACUCUGUUGAGUCGAGUGGCUCCGUGUUCACUGCCAAUCGGAUCAUAAAUUCCUUCCCUAAGCAUGAGGUGGUGAAGCUUAACGAGGGAGCUUUUGUUCAAUUGAAACAACAAGUGCAGUUAAUUGUGGCCAGCUAUGAUUUGACGGGGUUUCUUGAUGGUACCCUAUCGGCCCCGAUGAGGUUCGUUCAAGCACCCGACGGCGCUCUCGUUGCAAAUCCUUUUGCUUCAAUUUUCAAUCAACAAGACAAUCUCCUCACGUCGUGGCUAUUAUCCAUGAUUAGCCCUUCAUUCCUAUCCUCCUUCACAAAUGUCUAAACCGCAUGCGAUGUGUGGAUAACGACUAACAACUUGUUUACGGCGAACACGGACACAAAGCAGUCAUGGUUUCGCCACGAACUGCACUCUCUCACAAAAGGUAUUCUCUCUAUAAAAAGUUAUAUUACUAAAAUAAAAAGCUUGUAUGCUCUUUUUAAAGCGUCUAGAUCUCAAAUCUCGAAGGCCGAAAGGACUGAGAUCACGCUUGCGGGUCUGCCCUUCGAGUUUGAUGCCGUCGUAUCCUCUACCUCGCUCUCUUUGGUCUGUUAACAUUUCAACGAUUGGUCGAUGCUCUUCUUGAGUGUGAAGCUUGAUAGGCGAAGACGGUUCAAGAGGUCGUGUUUGCUGCGAAUCUUGUGGAAGGCACUCCGUCGCCGACGGUAGACAGAUCUCCUCGUGUUGGCCAUUCGCCUUCUCAUGGUUGUGGAUGAGGUUUUCGCUCUCGGUUUCAAUGUCAGAUCUGUGGCAGGUACAGUCACAUCGUCCAAAGGUGUUAUUACCGGUACCACCGUGAAUAGUAGUCACCGGUAGUGGCUCCGGUGUCGCACCAAGGAGGGCCGUCUCAUUGGUUGCUUAUGGAGGCGUUGCUUGACGCGAUUAUGGGUAAUAGAUGGUAUUUUCAUAAGCCACGACGCCCUCGGUUCACCAAUGAUGUUGGUUAAAAUUGGGUUGCCAAUAGCCAAAAUUGGUUUGUGCCUCAGAAAGAGCUUGUUAUGAAUCCUUAUACUAGGCCGAACGUUGGGUGCAGAUUGUCCUUGUACAUGGGCCGCAUGAAAUCAAUAUGCCACACCUGUCCAUGCUAUAUACAAAUAGGCCAAACCCCCCCAAUGAUGCACACAAAUCAACCAAACAAUGGGCUUUCAAGGCCAAAUGCCCUACCUAUGCCUAUUGGGCCUGUCUCAAAUCAUGUUCAAUUUGAUUUGUCUUUUGGCUUGGAGCUGAAUGUUAGUCCGUCGGGUGGUGCACCGAUUCCUUAGAAAACUAAACCCCGAUCUCGUGUUUACUCCGAGUCUGAUCUGUGUAUCGGGCUUCCUCGAGAAGGUAAUAUUCAUGCAUCAGAUUACUCCGACUCUUCUGGUUCUCAUAUCAAUUUCGCGCAGCUUGGGUCUCAUGGUGAUGGCAUGGAGUCAUAUAUUCCUAUGCCGGUUGGCACUGCGUCAUGGUAUCCUGACUUUGGCGCUAGUAAUCAUGUUUGUCGGGAUCCAUAGGCUCUGAAUAACACUACCCCGUAUUUAGAUACGUCUUCUCUCUUAAUAGGUGAUGGAACACCCGCCUCGAUUUUGUCGGUUGGCCAUAGUUUUUUACCCACUCAGUUUAAAUUGCUACGCUUAUCUAAUGUUUUAUGUGUUCCAAGUAUAAGGAAAAACCUCUUAUCAGUAUCACAAUUUGCCAAUGACAAUGGUGUGUUUUUUGAAUUUUAUCCGACAUAUUGUGUUAUUAAGGACAUUAUAACACGAGAAACUUUGCUGAAGGGCUACAUUCGUGAUGGACUAUACCAUUUUUCGGUGCCUGUGAUGUCUACUCAGUCAGUCGAAGCUCCAGUUGCUAAUUCAUCUGUGCUUCAGCAUACGUCCAAGGAUUGUAAUGUUUUUUCUUUAUGGCAUAACCGUCUUGGUCACCCAUCUGCUAGUGUUGUUAAAGCUAUUUUAGACGAAUGUAGUAUUGCCUCGAAUAAAUAUUGUCUUGAUGCUAUAUGUACCACAUGACAAAAAGGGAAGUCACAUAAAUUGCUAUUUCCUGUUUCCACUACUGAAUAUAGUGAUCCUUUUACCUUGGUUGUCUCUGAUCUCUGGGGCCCUGCAUCUGUUGCAUGUGAAAAUAAUUGGUAUUAUGUGUCUUUCAUUGAUGUAUGUACUCGCUUUACGUGGAUCUAUCUGAUUCGUCGAAAAUCUUAAAUUGUGCACUGUUUUGUUCAGUUUCAGCAAUUGUUAAAACUCAGUUUGGAAAGACUAUUAAAUAGUUUCAAAGUGAUUAGGGCGGAGAGUAUCGAGCCUUCAAGUCUGUCCUAGCUUCGCAAGGGAUAAUUUAUCGAUUAACGUGUCCACAUACUUCUGAACAAAAUAGAGUGGCUGAGCGCAAACAUCACCACAUUGUUGACAUGGGUAUCACCCUUUUGGCUCAAGCAAAUCUAUCUAUGGCAUACUAGGGCUAUGCGUUUUACUGUGCAGUUCACCUCAUCAAUCGGCUUCCUACUCUAGUUCCACAUGGACAAACUCCGUUUAAGGCUCUUUAUGGACACGAACCCACUUACGAUCAUCUAAGGGUAUUCAGGUGUUGUUGCUUUCCUAAUUUACGUCCAUUUAUGGCACAUAAGUUAGAGUUUCGUUCUCAACCAUUUACCUUCUUAAGUUAUAGUGCCCAACACAAGGGGUACCAAUGUCUUCUACCGACUAGAAAGGUUGUUAUUUCACGGCAUAUUGUGUUUGAUGAGAGUCAAUUUCUAUCAUCUGAGUCUGCUCCUGAGGGGUGUCUGCCGGUACGUAGUCAGUUUGUCUCAACGUGUGUUCUGCUAGUUCAGACUAUUUCUUCUCAACCUGUCGAGCCCCCAAUUGAUUAACCUUCUAUACCAUUUUCUCAACCAAUUGUUUGCCCAUUCACUUUUACUCUUGUCCCAACUCAGCCUGGAGUUGGAUCUGACCGUAAGCAACGUAGUUUGCCUCUGCCUAAUGAUAUUGGUUCCAGGCCUAAUAGAAGCCUUGAGUCUUCUUAUGAUGAUCAAAUGCAUUCUUUGCCCAUGACCAAUACUCACCCGAUGGUGACUCAAUCAAAGGUCGAUAUCUUCAAACCCAAAGCCAUGACUAUUGAAGCUGUGGAACCCUCUACGAUUGAGGAAGCACUCUCUACUUCUGAGUGGUGGGCUAUGACACAGGCUGAAUAUGAUGCCCUUGUUCGUAAUUCUACAUAGAUCUUGUGUUAUUACCACUUAAUCAUAAGGUCAUAUGGUGUAAAUAGCUCUUCAAGAUCAACCAGAAUCCUGAUGUACUAUUGCUCGAUGAAAGGUUCGACUUGUUGCAAAAGAAUGCUCUCAAGUCUCUAGAUGUGAUUUCAAGGAAACGUUUAGUCCAGCAGCAAAACCUGCUACUAUUCGGUUAUUUUGUCCAUUGUCGUCUCUAAAGGGUGGCAGCUGAGGCAAGUAGAUGUAAACAAUGUCUUUUUAAUUGGCUAUCUUGAUAAUAAGGUUUUCAUGCACUAACCUCCGGGGUAUAAACAUUAUGAUUCACUUGGAAACCCUUUUGUGUGUUGUCUGAAGAAAGCUUUGUAUGGUCUUUGUCAAGCUCCUUGUACCUGGUUUAAGAAACUAAAACAGUUUCUUGUCUUUGUUGGCUUCGUUGUCUCAAAAUCUGAUGCAUCUCUGUUUGUUUGGGUAAUAUCUGGCACCACUUUGUAUGUUCUUGUGUACGUAGAUGAUAUUAUAAUAACUGGCAAUCUGUCUACCUCUAGAGAUUGGUUUGUGCAGCUAUUAAAUAGUGAGUUCUCGCUCAAGGAUAUGGGUGAUCUUCACUACUUUCUCGGGAUAGAGGUAACUCAUUCCUUUGGUUGUCUCUAUCUCUGUCAAAAGAAAUAAAUCUGUGAUAUUUUUGAUCGGUGUUCAAUGACCACGGCGAAGAGUGUUCAUACACCGAUGGUCAGCUCGUCUACCUUAGCUAAAAGUGAUGGGGAACAUUUAGAGGACCCGACUAAAUACAGGAGCCUUGCUAGUGCUCUCGAGUAUGUGGUACUUACUAGGCCCGAUAUUUUGUAUGCAGUAAAUCGGAUCUGUCAAUUCAUGCAUAAUCCUACUACUGCUUAUAUGGUGGCACUAAAGCACAUUUUAUAGUAUCUGUGUGGUACUCUUGAUUUUGGGCUAGUUUUUCGUCUGUCUGCUCAGUUGUCCUUGGUUGGAUAUGCCAAUGCCAAUUGGGGAUUAGAUUUUGACGAUCAGUGAUGGAUAACAGGGUACUAUGUGUACUUUGGUCAAACACUGGUGUUGUGGUGUUCUAAAAAGUAGCUAGUGGUUUCUCGAUCUACAGCUAAGGCGAAAUACAAGAGUCUUGCUUUAGCUACCAGUAAGGUUACCUGGUUACUUUCAUUACUUCAAGAACUACAGAUUAAGUCUGAUGAUACUCAAAAUGUUUGGUGCGAUAGCUCUAGUGCAGUUGCAGUUGCAACCAAUCCUGUCUUACAUUCUAGGUUCAAGCAUGUAGAGCUCGAUCUGUUUUUUGUACGUGAGAAAGUUGCAGAUGGGUCUAUUAUGGUUGGUGAGGUUUCCGCAUGUGAUCAAAUGGCUGAAGUUCUCACCAAGCCACUGUCAGUGGCGUAUUUUACUUGGUUCCGAAGUCUUCUUCAAGUCUUACCUGUCGAGAAGAUGGGUGAGUGUUAGAGAUCAAUAGCAUAGCUCAUACAGCUAGUUAGUUAGCAAUUGAAGCUGUUGAUACAGCUAGCAGUUUGUUGAAGAGCAGUUAUGCAAGUUCUAUAUAUACAAUAUACAAUGUACAAAGAAGGGUAAUUCAUGGAUUCAUUCAAGAAAUAGAAACAGAAUAAUUUUGCAUUCAAUCUUGUUCAUCUUCAAUUUCAGAAUAGAGAUUAGCCUAGUUACAAAGUCAUUCGAAAACCUACCUUCUAUCAAUCAAAUGGUAGACAAACUUCAUUCCAAUUAACCAAUACAGGUUUCCUCUCCAAACUAGUUGAACCCUAGAUAAAAUUCCUCGCAGUUUUCUCAAAUUCUUUACAAACCGUGAUUGGGAGUCUAGCAGUAUUCAUGAAGUAACUUGAAAUUGCUAACAAUAUCGAUUUAGUCAAGGUAAUUCAGCCUGCCAAGGAAAGACGCUGGGUAUCCCAACCAUUUAAUUUUCUUUUGACUUUAUCCACUACAAACUAAAAAGUAGAAUGUGAGAUACGAGUAUGAAACAAUGGCAUGCCCAAAUAUUUCCCCAAUUCAUUGACUCUAAAAAAUGCAAGCUUAUUAUUAACUAUCAUUGCUACAUCUUCAGGAAUGUCAUUAGAGAAAUAGACUUGAGUCUUAUUUUUAUUAACUCUAUGUCUUGAGUACUUACAUUGUAUUAAUUGAAUAUUGUGGACCUCGUAAUGCAAAUUUUUAAUUCUAGUUAUGGAUUAAAUGUUAGAAAACUUAAUUUAGAAAAGAUAUUUGUUUGCAUAGUGAAAUAUUAAAUUUUUUCUAAAAAUUAAAUUAUUUUGUUAUCUAUGACAAUAAAUUUUAUCAAAUUUAUCACCUAUGUUAUUCUCUUAAUAGAACUCAUCGAUUCUUGGGCUUUCAACCAACAUAGUCUUUUCCCUUGUUCUCUAACCCUCAGUUUGCUUAGAGAAACACUUUUAAAAGGUACUGGAGAUACUUAAAUUUUUUUGUGAAUUGUCUAAGUCAUUUAAAAAUAUUAAUUUUGAGUUUGUAAAACUUGAAAAUAAAUAUUACAUAUUAAGGAAUUUUGAAAUUUAUUUUGUUAUAUAAUUUAUUCUUUUCUUACACAAAUUGAAAUUUAUUUGGGCUAAUUUCUCGUUAUCCAAUUAAAAUCCAAAUAUCAGGAUAAAUACCCCAAACCAAAGCCCAUAAAUCCUCAGCCCAUACAACUAUGCCCUAGUUUCUUUUCUUCUCUUUGGCUUCCUUUGGUUUAGCUUUUAAUGAUAGUGUGGUGCAGUUGGGGUAGAUAAUUGCUAAACCUCACUGAUUGUUUGUUUGGUUCAGCAUCACAAUACGGUCAAAAUUUAUUUCAACCACAUUGAUAGGCUCAAAAGUGACUGGAGAUUUCAACAGCAGUUAAACCCAAUAAAGCAGUAGUUAUUUUUAACAGACAAAAGUACCUAUACUUUUAUUUAUUAUUUUAACAUUUUAUCCUUGAAAGUUAGACUAAUUUCUUUCUCAGUCUUAUUUGUUUUCAGAUUUGGGAACAAAACAACCACUUGUUUUUCAGAUUUGAGAACUAAAAUAGUGAUUAUCGCUGGUUUCUCCCCUCUUUUUUGCUUUGUUCUUGGUUGUGGCUGCUACUUUUUUCUUUGCUUAAAGGUUAGUUUUUAUAUAUUUGUGUUGAGUAUGGUAUCAUGUUCAUGAUAUGUUUUCAUCUCGUUUCUAAAUUUUUCGAGCUUAGAUCAGAUUAUUGAUCAAUUGAGGGUAUCUGCAAAUAUGAGUUGUAGUUUCAACUUCUACAAUGAAUACAAAAAUUUAGCUUGUAGUUGGGAAUUUUUUAAGAAAUUUUUAGUGCAGUGUAGUGCUCAAUUGUAUUGAAAUGAUGAAACAAACCAUAAAAUCGUGGAAACUUCUUGAAGAACAAAAAAUCAGUAGGCUAAGAACAAAGGGUUUGUUUCAAAACUAAUUUAUUGCAUUUGAAAAUAGGCAAUUGAGUUUUGUUCUAAUGAUAUUAGAGAUGUAGUCUUUCCGUAUAGGUAUAUACAUUCUUAUGUUUCUUCAAUUUUCCUUUCAAAUAAUGUAAGCUUUUGAGACCAACAAAUCUUGAGAAAUAUAGCUUUGAAAGAUCACCAUUUUGAAAUAACUUUAGCCUUCUCAAUCCCCUACAUAUCUUUGUGUUUGAGAGGUCGAAUUGUUAUACAUCUUUAGAAAAUCUAGAUAUAUGAAACUUAGGUGGUGUGGAAAAUCUAUCUAACAUGGCUAUACAAUUAUCCAAGAAGUAAUGAGAUGUUGUAUGAUUUGGUGCGAAUGCUAGACUGUGUCACAUUGACUCUUCAUUUUUUUUAAGUAUUCAUAUUAGACAACCUUAGUUUUUUAAUUCAUAUUUGGAAAUCGGUGUGGAGACACGAUAUACAUGUAUGCAUGUCCCAUAUGAGUGAAAAUUAAAUACUUAUAUUCUAUUAUUUUGUUUAGUACAAUACAUCAAAUUGUUAAAGAGUUUCUAUGAGAAAUAUUGAAUGAGUUUUACAAAUGUGUGGAUGUUAUAUAGUACGAUAUCUUAAGAUAUAUGUUUGCUUAUAUUUUUUAUAAUGGUAAUCUUUAAAUGAUGUUUAUUAUGAUAUAUAUAUUUGUGGUUUUAUGUCAAUUUACAUUUAAAAUAAUAAUAGAUGGUAAAGACACGAAAUUUUGUGGAGGGAGAUAGUACCUUAGCAACAAAAGUUGUUUGGGAUGAUGAGUUGAUGUUGAUAUUUUGUGAACUUUGCAUGAAUGAAGUCAAUGCUGGUAAUAGAUCAAUAACUCAUCUAAACUCAAAAGGAUGGGAAAAUGUCAUUGCUCUUUUUCAAGAAAAAACACAAAAAAAAUUAUGGAAAACCUCAAUUGAAAAAUAAGCCGGAUACAUUAAAAAAGAAUAGAGGUUAUGGAGAGAGUUGCUUAAGGAAUCUACAGGUAUAGGAUGGUGUCCAUCUAAAAAGACGGUCGAUGCUACUGAAGAAUGGUGGGCUACAAAAAUACAGGUUAGUGCUAACUUUACCAUUAUUUUAAUGCAUAAAGUUUAUUGAAGUUGAUAAUUUACAAAUAUAAAAAUCUUAGUAUAACAUUUAACAUUUAACAUGUUAUGUAGGAAAAUCCUGAUUUUAAAGGAUUUAAGAAGAAAAGAAUUGAACCAUGAUUGAAUGAGUUAAUGUGGCAAAUGUUUGGUGGCAUUGUAGCCACUAGAGUGAAUGCAUGGGCACCUUCGUCUGGUGUUCUUCCAAGCGGGGUUCCUAUGGGAGAUGAUACACCUAAUACGGGAUUUGGUGAUUCAGAUGAACAUGGUAAUGAGAAUGAAGGUAUUCCUCCUAAUGAGGCACCGUCAAACCCUUUUCAUGAAACUCCUAAUCGAAAAAAGCAAACCCUUGGGGUUGUACACGGUAUGCGGUAAAGGAAAAAAAUCAAGUUCAAGUAAAAAAUCAUCAAGAAAUACAUUAACUACUCAGAUUGAGAAAUUGUGUGAGAGAAUGGCUAGUCCAAGGAAGUGAGCAAAUGAAUUUUUUUUCUCACUCUCAAUAUACUAUUCAAAUGCAAUGGACACUUUACGUGCUUUGGGAGAUGAAAUUCCAAAAAAAGAUGAACUGUAAUAUUUUGGCAUCAAAAUGUUCCAAAUACCGGUGAAAACGAAAAGUGUUUUUGAACUUAGAUCCAGAUGUUAAGGUUUGGUAGCUUCGACGUGAGUAUGCUGAACAAAAUCCAAUUGCAUCAUUUUCAUCCUUGGUAGCAACAUCCUCAUUUCCCUUUCAACCAUACCAUCAACCACCUCCACCAUAAGCUCCUUAGAAUUAUUACUGUAAUAUAACUAUACUACUUUUUUAUGUGUAAAACUAAUGUAUGAUAUUUUUUAUGUUUGGUAUUUUUAUGCUAUGUUUUUAUUCAAGUUUAUGUGUUGUAUAGAAUGCCACAAAAUAUUAAUUUAUUUUCAUUUGAUUAUGUUUUCAGGUUAUGGAUGAAUUUAACAAUAUGUGUACUAGUUUUGAUAUGAAUUAUGAUACCCUUGAAUUAAGUGAAGAAGCUCAACAAAAAAUAGCCACAAUUAGUACACAAGUUGAGCACAACAAUUAUUAUGAAGAGGAAGAAUAUGUGUUAAGUAGUAUAUUGGUACACCAUGAAACUUAUUUCACUAUGCAACCAUGUAUGGAUUCAAAUUAUACAGGUCAAAUGUGGGUGGACGACGUAUUAAAUAGGCAUGAUGACUGUUGCAUGAAUAGUUUUAGGAUGCCAGAAAAUAUAUUUCACAGCUUGUUGCAUGAUUUGCAAACAAAUUAUGGCUUAAAGCAUGGGAAAGUAUCAGUGAUGGAGAAGUUAGCAUUAUCAUUGUACAUUCUUGGAAAUAGAGAAUCAAAUUCAAAUGCAACAGAGUGAUUUCAACGAUCUGGGGAAACUGUUAGUCGAAUUUUUACUAAUAUGUUACAUAUAUUUGCUUGAAUGGGAAUAGACACGAUUAAACCCACUGAAGGUCAAUUCGAGGAAGUACUGAACCAUACUCGACAUGAUACAAGAUAUUGGCCUCACUUUAAGGUAAAAUUUACACAAUCUUUAUAACACCCCCUACCCGUAUUCGUUGCCGGAAUAGGGUACGAGGCAUUACUGGAGUUUACAAAUUAAUUUUUUUAACUCAAUAUAGCCCCUUUAUAGAUAUCUAACCUUCCCUACAAUUUUAAACCGAGACCAAUCCACAUCAACCAAUCCAAUUCAACACAUUUUCAAGAUAUAUUCAUGCAUAUUUAUAAGAUAACCUCAUCAUAUACAAAAAUCAAGAUUUGUUGGCCAUACCAAUGGCUGACCUUACAAUCAUUUCACAUUAACAUUUACUUUAUUAGCUUAUACAUGCCAUUGAUUUCCAAAAUAAAGUUUCUUUAUAUACCGAAAUCUUGAGGUUGAUAGUGUGAUGUGUCUCUGAUCGAAUCUAACCUCCGAGCUCUUAACACUAUAAAAUAAAUGAAAAAGGGAAAUAGGGUAAUCACGUUGUGCUUAGUAAGCUCAUGUAACAAGAAUUAUACUUACCUAAUAUUUUCAAUACAAUGCAAUAACAUUCAUAUAUCCAUUCAAUGCAUUAUUACCCUAACAUGCACAAACUCAACAUUCAAGUUAGUCCAAUAAUUUCCAUGUAUCAAUAAUAUAUACCAUGAUUGAUAAGUUCAUCAAUACCAUGAUUUCCAUUCCCUUGUAUUUUUCCAUAUUUAUCCCGUUGAAUUUCUCGAAAUUUCGAUGGAUUUUCAGGGGUACACUUUAGUGUACAAAUCCCGGUCCGUUAAUUUAUGUUCAUGUGAGCAGAUUUCCAUUUCAGAGAGCACACUACCGCGAACCUCAUUCUUACAGUCAGAUUACCAGUCCAGGAUAAAUCUUUUGUAAUAUAAACUCAUAAAGUAUUGUCAGGAUUACCGGUCUAGGCUAAAUCCCCUGCAACGACUAUUACUCUAAUGAGCUUGGAUUUGAAUUAUUAGUCCAGGCUAAAUUCAGACCCUAAUUCGGAUUACCCGUCCGGGCUAAGUUCAUUGUACACAUAUUUUUCGGGAGGGCUAUAUCAGGAUAGGAUCACCCGUCCGGGAUAGAUCCUUUUUACCAUCAAUUCCUUUUUAGAGAUCCAUCGAAUUUUCCUUCCAUUCAACUGGGAUUUCUUCCCCUUUUAUCAAAUAUAUCAACGUUUCAUCAAUUUUCAUACGAUGAACAUUCAAAUCAUAUUCACAUCAAUAACAUACAUUUUAAGCAUUUAAGAAUAUAAUUCAAGUUAUACGAACUUACCUCGAUAAUUGUUCGUAUACAAAAAUCUACUAAUCCCGAAUUUUUUUUUCUCCUCGAUGUAGUAUUUGAAUUUUCUAGAUCUAAAUAAAUAAAUUUAAUCAUCAAUUUAAUAUAUUUCAUCUUCAUAUGUAACAUUCUCUACAAUUCCACUAUUAUUUAUAGUUCAUUCAAAGCUGUCUACUUGAGUCAUAGUCACUAAAUUAUUUAUAUUUUAAGCUACAGAACUCCAAAUUAAGAUCUUCUAAUUUUACCUGAAACUAGACUCAUGUAUCUUCUUACCAUAAAAUAUUCAGAAUUUUUGGUUUAACCAAUAAGUACAUUUUAAGCUACAGUUUCGACCCUUCUUCACUAAAAAUUAAAUAUCUCCUCAGACAAGAUUCGAAUGAUGUUCCUGUUUAUUUCUAUUGAAAAUAGACUCAUUCAGGAUUAUAAACAUAUAAAUUUAAGCCCAUAAUUAUUUUUCUUUAAUUUUUGAUGAUUUUCCAAAGUUAGAAUAGGGGAACCCGAAUUCAUUCUGACCUUGUCUCACAAAAUUUAUUAUAUCUGAUGAUUUAAAAUUCCAUUGCUUACACUGUUUCUUUUAUGAGAAACUAGACUCAAUAAGAUUUAAUUCCAUAUUUUUUUCAUCUUCUAAUUCAAUUUCCAAAUUUUAUAGUGAUUUUUCAAAUUUAGUCUACUGCUGCUGUCCAAAACUGUUUUAGUGCAAGAUAUUUAUUACCAUUUUUCCCCUAAGCUUUUAAUAAAUAAUAAUUUCGUCCCUGCUCAAUUAGCCUCUCAAUUGAGCUGAUUUUUCUCAAUUAACACUUUAUUCUAUCACUUUAAACUAAUUUAUAACUUUUGGGAAUCAGAAUUUCAACACUAGACUUUAAUUCCAAACAUUUUCACAAUUAGGUCCUAAAAAUCAAUUUCUAUUGAAAUUACCUAAUAAAAUCAUCUCAUAAAUAAAUUAAAGCUUCAAUUUCAUGAUAUGUCAUCAUAAACUUACAGCACUCAACCAUGGUGACUUUCAAUUUCAUCCAUGAAAUAAAAAACUAAUGAAUUUAAUAGUAGGACCUAGUUGUAAAAGUCUUAAAAACACAAAAAUUAUGAGAAAAAGGGAAGGAUUAACUCACUUGGUGAAACAAUUAUGAAAUUACAACUUAAAGUACCCCUCCUAUGGCGUUUUGGCUGAUGAAAAUGAAGAGAAAUCACAAGAAAUCUAGAUAUUUCCAUACUAGUCCUAAUUUUUUUUAGUUAAUUAUGCAAUAUUCCAAUUUUACCCUUAAAUCGUCCAUUUUCUUGCUGAUUUCAUGCCCUUGUCGUCCAGCCCAAAUAAAUUUUGGGUCUAAUUGCCUUUUAAAUCCUUUCUCAUUAGAAAAUUAAGCUAUUUAAUUAUCCCAGCAACUUUUAUACCUUUUCUAAUUUAGUCCUUUUUAUUUAAUUGACUACCCAAACAUUAAAAUUUCCUAACAAAAUAUUAAUACCACAUUACUAAAAUUUCAUAAAUAUUUAUAAAAAUAUUUCCAACUCGGUUUUACGAGAUCGAGGUCUUGAUACCUUGUUUUUACCAAAUUUCUUUAAUAAUUUUUUCUAACUAACCACUAAAUUGGUAAAAUUUUUCUAUCGAUAUUUUCAUACGAUUUUCAUAUCAUAUCAAUAUUCAUGAAAAAAUAACAAAAUAAAUUUCUCUUUAAAUUGGAUUUGUGGUUAUGAAAUCACUGUUCCGAUAACCUUGAAUUUAGGCCAUUACAACUCUUCCCACUUUUCAAGGAUUUUCGUCCUAAAAAAUCUUACCAGGAAAGAGGUUCGGGUAAUGUUUCCUUAUUGUCUCCUCCGGUUCCAAUGUCGCUUCCUCAAUCCCAUGCUUUUUCCAUAAUACUUUCACCAAAUUUACCUUUUUUUUCUAAGCUCCUUUGUCUCCCGAGCCAAAAUCUUUAUUGGUUCUUCAGUGUAACUCAUAUUCAGCUGAAUCUAUAUUUUUGUCGGGGAAAUAACAUGUGAAGGAUCCGAUCGAUACCAUCGUAGCAUAGACACAUGAAAAACAUUAUGGAUUCUAUCAAGUUCCAAUGGUAAUGCCAAUCGAUAAGCGACUGGUCCAAUUCUUUCUAUGAUUCCAUAUAACCCGAUAAAUCUUGGACUCAAUUUACCCUUUCGACAGAACCGAAGAAUUUUCUUCCAAGGAGACACUUUCAGGAAUACCUUGUCACCGACCUGAAAUUCAAUCUUUUUCGUUUAAGAUCGACAUAUGAUUUUUGACGAUCGGAAGCUGAUUUUAGACUAUCCCAAAUAACCUUUACUUUUUCUUCUGUUUCUCGGAUCAAAUCAACCCCAUGUAUAUUCUUUUCACUGAGCUCUGUCCAAUACAACGAUAUUCUACAUUUUCUACCAUACAAAGCUUCAUAAGGAGUCAUUUUAAUACUAGACUGAUAACUGUUAUUGUAAGCAAAUUCAAUCAAAGGUAGAUAUCUUUCCCAAUUACCUUCAAACUCUAGUAUACAACGUCGGAGCAUAUCUUCCAAUACUUGAAUUACACUCUCAGAUUUGCCAUCUGUCUGAGGAUGAAAUGCAGUACUGAAAUACAACUGAAUACCUAGAGCUUCUUGCAAUUUGUCUCAAAAAAGAGCCGUAAAUCGGGGAUCUCUAUCUGAUAUAAUAAAGAUAGACACUCCAAGUAGCCUGACAAUCUCAUAUAUGUACAAUUCAGCUAGUUUAUCUAAGGAAUAAUCCAUACGUACCGGAAUAAAGUGCGCUGACUUUGUCAAUCAGUCAACAAUCACCCAAAUGGCAUCUUUUUUCCUCAGAGACAACGAUAACCCCGAUACAAAAUCCACAGUGAUUCUUUUCCAUUUCCAUUCCAAUAUAGUGAUUAGCUGAAGUAACCCCGAAAGUACCUGAUGUUUAGCUUUAACUUGCUGACAUAUCAAACACCUUGAUACAAACUCAGAGAUAUCACGUUUCAUACCUGACCAUUAGUACAUCUUUUUCAAAUCAUUAUAUAUUUUAUUACUCCCCGGAUGUACAGACAUAAUACCGCUAUGAGCCUCGUGUAAAAUCUUCUGUAUGAGCUCUGAAUUCUGAGGUUUACACACCCUACCUCAGAAUAACAAACAACUAUCAAUCCCAACCUAAAAUUCAGAAUCAGUACUUGACUCACAUUGUACCCAUUUAACCUGUAACUUCUCAUCAUUCUUCUAAGCUUCACAUAUUUACUGCAAAAAUGUCGGUUUAGCUCUCAAUUCAACUAUGAUUGAACCAUCAUUAGUCAGUGACAACCAGGUAUUCACAACUCAUAAAGCAAACAGAGAUUUUUGGCUCAAAGCAUCAGCUACAACAUUAGCCUUACCCGGAUGGUAAUCAAUAAUCAAAUCAUAGUCCUUUAUCAGUUUAAGCCAUUUGUGCUGUCUUAAAUUCAAAUCUUUUUGCGUCAUCAGAUAUUUCAAGCUUUUAUGAUCAGUAUGAAUAUGACAUUUCUCACCGUAAAAGUAAUGCCGCCAUAUAUUUAGUGCAAAUACAAUAGUAGCUAAUUCAAGAUCAUGUACUGGGUAAUUUUUUUCAUGUGGCUUAAGUUGUCUUGAAGCAUAGGCUAUUACUUUACCUUCUUGUAUCAAGACACAACCUAAACCAUUUAAUGAGGCAUCACUGUAAAUAACAAAUUCCUUACCCGGUUCAGGCUGCACUAAUACAGGUACUUUCGUUAAUAGAUCUUUCAAUCGGUUGAAACUCUACUGACAUUCAUCAGUCCAAUCAAACUUUACAUCUUUCUGUAAUAAUCAAGUCAUUGGAGAAGCUAUCAUAGAGAACCCCUGUACAAAUCUCCGAUAAUAACCAGCUAAACCCAAGAAACUUCUAACUUCAGAUACAUUCUUCGGUGGACUCCAAUUGAAAAUAGCUGAGAUUUUACUCGGAUCUACCUUGAUUCCUUCGGCGGAUACAAUAUGUUCGAGAAAACCCACUUCUUGAAGCCAAAAUUCACAUUUACUGAAUUUAGCAUAAAGCUUCUUGUCACGCAGAAUUUGCAACACUAUUCUCAAAUAUUCUGCAUGCUCAUUUUCAUGUCGAGAAUAGACUAGAAUAUCAUCAAUGAAUACUACCACAAAUCUGUCUAAGUACAGUUUGAAUAUCCGGUUUAUUAAAUCCAUGAAUACUGCAGGUGUAUUAGUUAGCCCAAACGGCAUAACCAGAAACUCAUAAUGCCCAUACCUAGUUCUGAAGGCUGUUUUUGGCACAUCUGACUCAUUUACUCGUAGCUGAUAAUAACUUGAUCGGAGAUCAAUCUUUGAAAACACUGUAGCACCUUUCAGCUGAUCAAAUAAAUCAUCAAUUCGGAGUAAUGGGUAUUUAUUCUUUAUGGUUACUUUAUUAAGCUGCCGGUAGUCGAUACAUAGUCUUAAAGACUCGUCUUUCUUUUUCACAAAUAAAACCGGAGCACCCUAAGGUAAAUGACUCGGUCGAAUAAAACCCUUAUCAACAAGUUCCUGUAACUGUGUCUUUAACUCUUUUAGUUCUGUAGGAGCCAUCCGGUACGGAGCUAUGGAAAUCAGAGUAGUUUCCGGAAUCAAAUCUAUAGAAAAUUCUACUUCUCUUUCUGGUGGCAACCCUGAUAAUUCCUCUGGAAACACAUCAAAAAAUUCACAUACCACUGUCACUGCCUGAAUUUUCAACUCAAAUACCUUGGUGUCUAGUACAUAAGCCAAGUAAGCAUCCUACCCUUUUUUGACAUAUCUUUGUGCUGCCAUCACUGAAAUCACAUCAGAUAACCCCUCUAUCUGAUCAGAUUUAACUCGGAGUAACUCACCAUUCUAACAUUUUGGCACAAUAUAUUUCUGUCUACAAUUUACUAUUGCAUCAUGCUGGGUUAGCCAAUCCAUGCCAAAUAUCAUGUCAAAUUCAUCAAACGACAGUAACAUCAAAUCAGCCAGGAAACAAUAACCUCUUACCAUCAGCGGACAAUUUUUACAAAUUUUAUCCACCAAAACAGAUUGGCCCAGGGGGUUCGACACAUUAAUCACAAAUUCAAUAAGUUCAAUAGAUAAAUCUUUAACACAUACAAGCUUUAUACAUAUAUAUGAAUGUGUAGAACCAGGAUCAAUUAAUGCAGUAAUAUUAGUGUCAAGUAAAGAAAAUGUACCAGUAAUAACAUCAGGUGUUGAGGCAUCUUCUCUGACACGAAUGGCAUAUGUCCUAGCAGGUGCUCGUGCCUCAAGCUUGCCUGCAGUAUCUUUUGUAGCUCUUUGGCUACCACUGACAUUACCGGAUGGUCGAGGUGGUCUACCCCUAGAAACUGAUUAAUUGGCUUCGGUGUCUGUUCAGCUUCUUUUUCACCCCUUUCUGGACAAUCUCUGAGGAAAUGAUCAAAUGAAUCGCAUCGGCAACAAGCCCCACUUUUCAGCAGGCAUUCUCCAAAAUGAGUUUUAUUACAAUUCUGGCAUCUCAGCUUAGGGGUACCAACACUGCCAAAACUGGUCACUGAUGGAGUGGAAGCUCUUAGAUUAGUGCGUUGAGAACCUCGCUCUCUACCCGAAUACCCAGUGGCUGAGGUAGAACGAUCUUGGUAUUCUUCAAUUUCUUUGAAGCAGAAAACUAAGAUUUUUCCAUCAGUCUUUUAUUAAAAAUUCGAGCUUCCCUCUCACCUUUUUUCUUCUCUUUGCUCAAUUCUUCUGCUUUAUAAGCUCUCUCUACCAAUGUAGCAAACUCUCAAACUUCAAGAAUUUCGAUCAGUAGCUUAAUCUCUUUAUUCAACCCUUCUUCGAAUGGUUUGCACAUUUCGGCUUCUGACUGUACCCAUUCCCGAGCAUAUUUACUCAACCGAACAAAUUCUCUCUCAUAUUCAAAUACCGAUUUGUUGCCCUCUGUACCUGUUCUGGAGCCGGAGCAUGACUCCAGGCUUCCUCGGAUUAAGCUCAGUCGGCAAGCAUUUACUAUAAGAAAAAAACGUUUAAAUGGUCAGGAGAUAUCAUACUAUCAAUAAUAAUUUAAAUAGCAUGUAUAGCUAAUCUCAUAUUUGCUACAUCGGUCUUAGAACUGGAUAAACUAUAGUUCUGAUAUCAAAAAAUGUAAUGCCCCUAUCCGUUUUCGUUGCCGGAAUAGGGCACGAGGUAUUACCGGAGUUUACGAAUUAAUUUUUUUAAACUCAAUAUAACCCCUUUAUAGAUAUCUAAGCUUCCCUGCAAUUUUAAACUGAGACCAAUCCACAUCAACCAAUCCAAUUCAACAUAUUUUCAAGAUAGAUUCAUGCAUAUUUAUAAGAUAACAUCAUCAUAUAGCAGAAUCAAGAUUUGUUAGCCAUACCAACGGCUGACCUUACAAUCAUUUCACAUUAACAUUUACUUUAUUAGCUUAUACAUGCCAUUGAUUUCCAAAAUAAAGUUUCUUUAUAUACCGAAAUCUUGAGGUUGAUAGUGUGAUGUGUCUCCGACCGAAUCCGACCUCCGAGCUCUUAACACUAUAAAACAGAGGAAAAAGAAAAACAAGGUAAGCACUUUGUGCCUAGUAAGCUUAUGUAACAAGAAUUAUACUUACCUAAUAUUUUCAAUACAAUGAAAUAACAUUCAUAUAUCCAUUCAAUGCAUUAUUACCCUAACAUGCACAAACUUAGUAUUCAAGUUAGUCCAAUAAUUUCCAUGUAUCAAUAAUAUAUACCAUGAUUGAUGAGUUCAUCAAUACCCUAAUUUCCAUUCCCUUGUUAUUUUUCCAUAUUUAUCCCGUUGAAUUUCUCAGAAUUUCGAUAGAUUUUCAAGGGUAGACUUUAGUGUACAAAUCCGGGUCCGUCAAUUCAUAUUCAUGUGUGCAAAUUUCCAUUUCAGAGAGCACAUUCCCGCGAACCUCAUUCUUACAGCGGGAUUACCAGUCCAAGCCAAAUCCCUUAUAAUAUAAACUCAUAGAGUAUUGUCGGGAUUACCAGUCCAAGCUAAAUCCCUGCAACGGCAAUUACUCUAAUGAGUUUGGACCUGAAUUACCAGUCCAAGCUAAAUUCAGACCCUAAUUCGGAUUACCCGUCCGGGCUAAGUCCAUUUUACACAUAUUCUUCGGGAGGGCUAUAUCAGGAUAGGAUCACCCGUCCGGGCUAGAUCCUUUUUACUGUCAAUUCCUUUUCAGAGGUCCAUCGAAUUUUCCUUUUAUUCAACCGAUAUUUCUUCCCCUUUUAUCAAAUAUAUCAAUGUUUCAUCAAUUUUCAUACAAUGAACAUUCAAAUCAUAUUCACAUCAAUAACAUACAUUUCAAGCAUUUAAGAAUAUAAUUCAAGUUACAUGAACUUACCUCGAUACUUGUUCGUAUACAAAAAUCUUUUAAUUCUGAACUUUUUCUUUUUCUUGAUCUAGCUUCGUAUUUGACUUUUUGGAUCUAAAUAAAUAAAUUUAAUCAUAAAUUUAAUACAUUUCAUCUUCAUAUGUAACAUUCGCUACAAUUCCACUAUUAUUUGUAGUUCAUUAAAGCUGUCUACUUGAGUCGUAGUCACUAAAUUAUUUAUAUUUUAAGCUACAGAACUCCAAAUUAAGAUCCCUUAAUUUUCCCUGAAACUAAACUCACGUAUCUUCUUUCCAUAAAAUUUUUAGAAUUUUUGGUUUAACGAAUAAGUACAGUUUAUUCUUUAAAUUCGCCCCUGUUCUGCUAUCUGAAAGUUCCGACCCUUCUUCACUAAAAAUUAAUUAUCUCCUCAUACAAGAUUCAAAUGAUGUUCUCGUUUUCUAAACAUAUAAAUUUAAGCCCAUAAUUACUUUUCUUAAAUUUUUGAUGAUUUUUUAAAUUCAGAAUAGGGGAACCCGAAUUCAUUCUGACCUUAUCUCACAAAAUUUAUUAUAUCUCAUGAUUUAAAAUUCCAUUGCAUACACCGUUUCUUCUAUGAGAAACUAUACUCAGUAAGAUCUAAUUCCAUAUUUUUUUCAUCUUCUAAUUCAAUUUCCACAAUUUAUGGUGAUUUUUCAAAUUUAGUCUACUGCUGCUGUCCAAAACUGUUUUAGUGCAAGAUGUUUAUUACCAUUUUUCCCCUAAGCUUUUAAUAAAUAAUAAUUUCGUUCCUACUCAAUUAGCUUCUCAAUUGAGCUGAUUUUUCUCAAUUAACACUUUAUUCUAUCACUUUAAACUACUUUAUAACCUUUGGGAAUCAGAAUUUCAGCACUAGACUUUAAUUCCAAACAUUUUCACAAUUAGGUCCUAAAAAUAAAUUUCUAUUGAAAUUACCUAAUAAAAUUAUCUCAUAAACAAAUUAAAGCUUCAAUUUCAUGCUAUUUCAUCAUAAAAUUACAGCACUCAACCAUGGUGACUUUCAAUUUCAUCCAUGAAAUAAAAAAACUAAUGAAUUUAAUAGUAGGACCUAGUUGUAACAGUAUUAAAAACACAAAAAUUAUAAUAAAAAGGCAAGGAUUAAUUCACUUGGUGAAAAAAUUAUGAAAUACCAGAUGAAAGAACCCCUCCUAUGGCGUUUUGGCUGAUGAGAAUGAAGAGAAAUCACAAGAAAUCUAGAUAUUUUCAUAUUAAUCCUAAUUUAUUUAAUUAAUUAUGAAAUAUUCUAAUUUUUCCCUUAAAUCAUCCAUUUUCUUACUGAUUUCAUGUCCUUGCUGUCCAGCCCAAAUAAAUUUUGGAUCUAAUUUCGUUUUAAAUCAUUUCUCAUUAGACACUUAAGCUCUUUAAUCAUCCUAGCCACUUUUACACCUUUUCCAAUUUAGUCCUUUUCAUUUAAUUGACUACCCAAACAUUAAAAUUUCCUAACAAAGUUUUAAUACCACAUUACUAAAAUUUCAUAAAUAUUUAUAAAAAUAUUUCCAACUAGGUUUUAUGAGAUCGAGGUCUUGAUACCUUGUUUUUACCCAAUUUCUUUAAUAAUUUCGUUUUCUAACUAACCACUAAAUCAGUAAAAUUUUUCUAUCGAUAUUUUCAUAUGAUUUUCUUAUCAUAUCAAUAUUCAUACAAAAAUAUUAAAAUAAAUUUCUCUUUAAAUCGGAUUUGUGGUUACGAAACCAUUGUUUCGAUAACCUUGAAUUUAGGCUAUUACAAUCUUUAUAUUUUAAAAAUAUAAAUUAUUUCUAACUUUUAUCUUAGUACUUGUAUUUAUUUUAAAGGAUUGUAUUGGGGCCAUAGAUAGAACACAUAUAAAAUCAUGCAUUUCGCCUUAUUGUCAAAUACCUUAUAUCGGACAGAAAGGUGAACCAAACACACAGAAAAACAUUCAUUUCGCCUUUUUGUCAAAUACCUUAUAUCGGAUAGAAAAGUGAACCAACUCAAAGUAUUAUGGCAGCUUGUCACUUCAACAUGUGCUUUAUUUUUGUACUUCCUGGUUGGGAAGGAACAACACAUGACAGUAGAAUCUUUUUGCAAGCACUUAGAAAACAAGAGUUAAAGUUUCCACACCCUCCACCAGGUUGAACUUUAAUUUUUUAAUUAAUCUUUACAUAAAAACAAUAUUAAAAUUUUUAAUUUAUUUUUAAACUUGAUAUUAUAUUUUACUUUUUUGUUGGAAAAUAUUAUCUUGUGGAUUCAGGAUAUCCACAAAUGGCAGGUUUUCUAGGUCCAUAUAGGGGGAAUGAUAUCAUUUACCUGAUUUUCGCCGAGGUAAUCAUCGAGUAUCUGAAAAAAAAAGAAAUCUUUAAUCAUGCCCAUUCUUCAUUACGCUCUGUAAUUGAACGAACAUUUGGAAUAUGGAAAAAAAAAUGGCCAAUAUUAAGAGAUAUUCCAAGUUAUUCAUUCAACAAGCAAGUUUUAAUAGUUAUUGCAACAAUAGUUUUGCAUAAUUGCAUUCGAAGACAUGCUUGGUCAAAUAAUGAGGAUUUUCGACAAUUUGAGAAUAUACCCAACAUGCCAACCUCUUCAGGCCAUUUUGAUAGAGGUGAAUCGAGUUCUUCUAAUAGUAAAAGUGACCUUGAAAUCGCGAUGUUAAGGGAAACCAUUGCAACUAAUUUAAUGAAUCCAUAUUUGUAAAAACAUUUUGUAUCAUAACCUAAUAUCUAGUAAUAAUGAAACUUGUUAUGUCUUAUGUUACUUUUUUUUAUUAAAAAUCAUCCGUUUAGAUGCUUCAAAAUUUGAUCCAAGUAUAAUGUUACUAUUUGUGAAAAUAAUAUUUAUCAUUGUUAUAAAAGAAUAUUUAACUAUAAAAAAUUAAAAAUAAUUAUCUUUUUAUCUAAUAAAUAAUUUAAAUUGAUUAUAUAAUUCAUUAAAAUAUUUAUAAUAAAAUAUUACAAGAUACAUUUUAAUAAUUUUAUAAAAGUAAAAUAAUUUUAACAACUUAUAUUAUAUAGCAAUUCUAAUAUGAUGUCUUUAAUAGCCAUUUUUUAUUCUUAUCUCACCGUUACAAUUGCGUUUGAAUCCAAACACACACUCCACCAUUGUUUCUAAUCUCACCGCUACAGUAACUAAUCUCACAGCCAUCCCUGUUUUUAUCCUCACCGGAGGUAAACACACCUCCCAUCCAAUAAAUUAUUUUUUAUCUAUAACAAUAAAUUUUAUCAAAUUUGUUACCGACGUUAUUCUAUUAGUAGUACUCAUCGAUUCUUGGGCUUUCAACUAACACAGUCUUUUUCUGUUGUUCUUUAACCCUCAGUUUUGUUUAGAGAAACACUUUUAAAAGAUAUUGGAGAUACCUAAAUUUUUUUUUGUGAAUUGUUUAAGUCAUUUAAAAAUAUUAAUUUUGAGUUUGUAACACUUGAAAUUAAAUAUUACAUAUUUGAUGAAGGAAUUUUGAAAUUUAUUUUGUUAUAUAAUUUAUUGUUUUAUUACACAAAUUGAAAUUUAUUUGAGCUAAUUUCUCAUUAUUCAAUUAAAAUCCAAAUAUCAGGAUAAACAGCCCAAACCAAAGCCCAUAAAUCCUCAGCCCAUACAACUGUGCCCUAGUUUCUUUUCUUCUCCUUGUCUCUUUUCUUUCAGGCGCACAGCUUCAAUUUUUCUUCUUUUCCGGUGCUUUUCUUCUGAUCGGCCACCACGACUUCUUCAAAAGCCAAUAGCAGUUCCAGUGUGGCCGACUUUCAGGCGUGUCCGAGCAACAUAUCCUAAUUUUCUUUUAAGGGUUGUAAGUAUAAAACUGUGUUGACAGUUCAUGCUGUUUCUUACAUUCUUAUAGGGUCUGUAUUCUAGUGUAUUUCUACUAUUAUUUCAGAACCAUCACAUUUCUCUUGCCUUUAAUAAUGUGUCAUAAUUCCAUUCUGUAGAUAACAGAUCAGCGAUGUGAAAUGUUCUAUGAUUUGAAAAAGUAUAAAACUGUGUUGACAGUUCAUGCUGUUCCUUACAUUUUUAACUAUGUGUUAUGAUGUAUGGUUUCUGUGUAGGUCAAACUUCUUAGGCACCAUGCUCAAGACUGAUGAUUUUUAAAUCUCUUAGAGCUGGUAUAUACGUUCAUCAAUUUUGGAGUAAAAGCACUCUAUUCCUUGAUUGUAUCUGUGGACUUGGUUAUUCAGUAAUUUCUAGCAGUAUGAAAGAAAUCAAAGUAAAAGAUGCUUCUCCUAUGUGUACUCUUGCACCUGAUACUGAACCCAGAAUCCAACCAUCUUCCUCUGUAAGUGAGGACCGUAAGUGUUCAUCUAUAAGUGUGAAAUCUACCCCUGAAAUAGAAAAGAAAUAUGUUCAUCAUGUUUAUGAUGCUAUUGCCCCCCAUUUUAGUUCCACCCGCUUUGCCAAGUGGCCGAAGGUCGCUGCUUUCUUGGAAUCUUUGCCUACUGGUUCACUUAUCUUAGAUGCAGGAUGUGGAAAUGGGAAAUAUCUAGGUUUAAAUUCUAGCUGCUAUUUUAUAGGAUGUGAUAUAAGUCCUUCCCUUAUCAAAAUAUGUGCUAAUAGAGGGCAUGAAGUUUUGGUUGCAGAUGCUGUUAAUCUUCCUUACAGAACUAAUUUUGGUGAUGCAGCAAUCUCUAUUGCUGUGUUACAUCACUUAAGUACAGAGAAUAGGAGAAAGAAAGCGAUUGAAGAAUUAGUGCGAGUUGUUAAAAAGGGUGGCCUAGUUCUAAUAACCGUUUGGGCUGUUGAACAAGAGGAUAAGUCAUUACUUACCAAAUGGACUCCACUUACAGAAAGGUAUUUAGAAGAGUGGAUAGGACCAGGUAGUCCUCGUGUUCGUGGCUCUUCAUCCUUCACUCUAGAAAGCAUUCCUGAAACUGAGGAAAAUGGUUUGGGUGGGCAUCCAAAAGAUUCUAGAGUGAGUUUAACUGAGAAUAUGCAACAAUCAUCAUGCUCAACCCCCCAAAAUGAAGAUGAUUCAAUGGUUUCUAGAGAUGGAAAGAGUCAGCAGGAAUAUUUUGUCCCUUGGCACUUACCUUAUCACCGUGCUGAAGUUAGUGGUGCCUCUGCUGGUGCUCUAGCAAAUGGUUUGGCAAAGAAAGAUGAUAAGAAGGGUGCUGUAGUGUACAACAGAUAUUACCAUGUGUUCGGUGAAGGCGAGCUUGAGAGGUAUGCAUAUUGUCUUUGUAAACGUUUGCAGUUCUAUAUAUCCAUUUAUUUAUCAACAUAUUAUCCAAUGUUCGGGCUGCACAUGGAACGAGCCUCGUUCAAUUGGCUACCCAAAAAUGGUAUGACUGUGGUUUGUGAUUUUAGAUAUAUGAUAUGUGCUGAAAACUUUUACCUAGCUAACUGUCAUUUUGAAUACACUUUAUUUUUAGUAAACUAACUGGACAUGAUAUCAUAGUGGAAAGUUAGCAAUCAUCUAUUUUAUUACACAUUUACACUAUUUAAAGAUAUAAAUGAGAAGACCAAGUUGCUUACCAUGAACUUAAGAUACAUAUCUGAAAUUAUGUUUUUUCCAUUUGUUACUUGGUGUAAAUGUUAUUUUUGCAUCGAGGGGAUGUAAAUGGUUUACAACAGUCGAUAUAAUUGCCUUUGGAUUUGAUGUCAAAGGAAUUUAUAUGAUCUAGGUUAAGAGAGAACAUGUGCAAGCCUCUACUUUUAUCUUCAUAAAAUCUGUUUUUCGUUUUUGGUUGCUUUUAGAGUAUGAUGUUGCGGUUUGAUGAUUGGAAUGGAAAUUACCUCCUGUCAUUUACAUCUGUAGAUGAAGAUUUUUUGUUAAUUUAUUUUACAUAAUUUAUGCAGGUUGGUAUCGGGAAUGGAUAAUGCUGUGAUUGUUGAUAAGUUUUAUGACAAAUCAAACUGGUGCAUCAUUCUUGAGAAAACAUUAGAAGGAUAAACAAUUGCAUUACUUCAUCGUCACACUGGAAUUAGCAUCAAAGCAAAUUGAUUAUUGCUUUUCAUUGGCGGCUGUUGCACGCACUUCAUGAUUAAGAAGUUGCUGGCAAAGGAUUCUUCACCAUCUCUCAGACAGUAAUAGAGGUGCUUGAUCGAUGUGGCUGAAGACGGACCUGAGAUAUGGAUAGCUCAACCUUUUUCCCCAUAUACAAUGUGUUAGUAUUACUAGGGUUUGUAUGUCAGCUCUCCGAAAUGUGGAAAGAUUAGUGAAUAAUUCUGUUUUCGGCUUUCGAUUUUUCGCGUUUAUUUUUCAAUAUUGGAUGAAGAUUGUCCACUGCUAUUUUGUUGGUUCGUCUGUUUUUCAUACGAACUGAAACAUGAAAAUGCAUAAAAAGUAAGGAUGGUAUUCGAGGAAGGGAUGGAUGUUGCCAAAUCCACUAUUGCUUUAAAGUUGUUAUGGAUGUGUAUUAAUUUUAUUCUUUUCAAAGAGAAGAUUACACAAUUUUAUCACACAAGUAGGUAAAUUGGUAAUUUUGCCCUUUUAAUUCAUAUAAAAGUUGGAAGAUUUUAGGGUUUAUCUUAUGGUGUAAAUUUACAAUUUCACUAAUGAUAAUUUUAUAUAAAUUGGGUAAACAAUUAUUAAAAUUGUUCUAUACACGUCUUCUAAAGAGAACUCGCCCUGUUACGAUUUACUUUAUUAUCCAUGUUGUUCCAUUUGCAGCAAAGGCAUUGAGGUUUGGAUUUUGUCAUCUGAUUGUAUGUGAGCAAAUGUUUCUUAUCAUCUAAAUUUAUGGUCACAGAGGAAUCAUUGAAUUAAAUUUUAUAAAUUCUCUCUGAAAAUACUGGAAUGAUUUCUCUAUUUCUUUUAAUAACUUAAAUCAUAUUAAAGCUUUAAAUAUUAUUUGAAAAAAAAAAGAGUCCAUUUAAAUGCCUUUUUCUUGGGUGGCUCAUUUUUUAUAACAUCAUUUUGGUUUUUGAAAUCCUUCACUCUCUCAAAAAGAAAACCAAGGGAAGAGCACCUUUCAAAAUUGAUAUCAGCCACGCUUUUGAUAGAAUUAACUGGGAUUUUCUUCUUUCAGUCUUCUAUGUGAUUCCAUCAUCAUUGGAUCAAUAUCAUAAAGCAAUGUAUUUCCACUGUGUCCUAUCAAGUACUGGUAAAUGACUCACCAUCCAGAAACUUCUCCCCCAAAGGAGAUUCGGGGAGGGAGACCCCCUAUCUCCUUAUUUGUUUGUCAUUUGCAUUAAUGUUCUCUCCCAUCUGCUCCAAGAAGCAAAGAACAAUGGAUCUAUCCAAGGAAUUAAGAUCUCUAGAAAUGCUUCACCCAUCAAUUACCUCCUCUUAGAGGUGUUCAAAUUUCAGUUAAACUCGAAUUAACUGACCAAACUGAACUAAUUUAGUUAAUCGAUCGGUUAAUGAUUUUUUAAAAGUUUGAUUAUCGAUUAAUUUAAUUCGAAAUCGAAUAAUUAAUCAAAUUUUCAAAAAACUAAUAUUAUAUAUAUAUAUAUAUUAAGUUUAGCUAGUUCACUGUCCACCCAAGCUCCAACCACCAGUCGACCCAAUAAACCCAAUUCAAUAUUACAAAUUCAUAACCUACUAACUCUAACCCAAUAACCUUAACCCAACCCAAAAAUCCCUAAUCUAAAAUAAAAAAUAACACAAAAAUCCCCAAUGCUAUAACCCUAAUCAGUAAUCUGUAAAUUGAAAUUCAUUCUCAUUCAUCUUCAUUCUUUAUCAUCAAUUCAUGGAGAUUUGCGCCUUUGAGCAAAAGAGAGAGGAAGAUAUUUCAUUAUAUCAGCAAAAUCAGGUUGAUGUAUCUGAUAUAAACAACAAACCCAUCAUCAUUCAUACAUGUUACCCUCUCACUCUCACUCUCCCUUUUAUUUUUUAUUUUAUUCCAUCUUGCUUGCUUGCAUGCAUUCUUCUACAAACAAAACACUCUUUUCUCUCUCCGAUGUCACCCUUUUGCUUUGCUCCUUUUUAGACUUUGGUCCCUUUUUCCUUUUUUUUUUCGGGUUUUGUUUAUUUUUUCGGAGUGAUAUUUUGUUUGGUGAUUAAAUAUUAAGUGAUUUAACAGAAUUAUUAUUAUUUUUAUAUGUUUUAUACUUGAUUUAACCAAAAAAAAAACAUAAAAACUUUGGUUAAUUCGAUUAACCGACCAAAUUAACCGAAAUAAUUCAGUUUGGUUAACUUUUUUUUUGAAAAAAAUUCAAUUCGGUUAACGGUUAAGGGUUUAAAAGUUUAAAAAAUUUGGUUAAUUUUGUUAAUCCUAGUUUGGUUCGGUUAACCGAUUGAACACCCCUACCUUCUCUUUCUUGACGAUUGUUAUAUCUUCUUCAAUGUUAGUGUUCAAGCGUGCAAAACCUCAAAGCUCGUCUUUUCAAGUUUGUUCCCUCUCAGGCUUCCAAAUCAAAUUUGAAAAGUUAGAGCUAUUCCUCAAUUCCUCUAUGAAUAUUCAAGCAAGAAGAUGGUUUAGUGGUAGUUUUAAUGCAAAAAGAGUCGACGACCUUGGAAAAUAUCUUAAUCUUGAGCUGGGGAAAUUCGUAAAAAGAUGGAAUUCUUUAACAAUUUGGUAGACAAGAUAAACACAAAUUUGGCUUCUUGGAAAUCUAAGUGUCUUUCAUCAGGGUGUCAUGGAAUGGAAUUAAGGGCAACGGUCAACACACCAAUCAUGUUUAAAUUUCUAUUUUAGUAUUAAUUACUGUAAAACGCAAUGUUUAGUUUAAUGCUUUAAUGAAAUGAUACGUUUAAGGGGGAAGGCUUAGAUAGGGUUCAAAUGAAAACGUUUAGGGAUGUUUUGUCAUUUACUUGAAAUGGUACGUUUUGUUACACCUGUAUUGACAACUGUUAGUUGUUUGAUAAAGCCGUUACCACCCUAAAAACACCAAUCAAGGGUAGGGGAAGACAUUUAUGAAAAUGAAUACAGUUUUAUUCUUUCUACUAUCUUUCUGAUUUCUCUCUCAACUUCUUCUCUUCCUCUUGCCACCCUAUUUCUCUUUUGCCCUAAAUUUAUUCACGUGAAAAAGGUAUCAGAGCUGCAGUCGAUUCUCAUGGCCAAUGAUGGAGUCACCACAAGGUUACAAAAAGAGAUGGGCAUGUUGCAAUACGAGCUCUCUCAGAUGCAGUUAGAGGUUAGCCAGAUUGAUGCUAAGAUUAACUCUUGACUAAAAGACUUUCAUGAAAUCAUAAAGGGUGAGAUUCAAACUGAGCUCCACUAUGUCUAAACACUAUUUUGGUCAGGAUGCUUCUGCCAGUGUAGUUGGAGUUAGGGUUACGGUAUUUUGGGAGGCUCUCCUCUAGGUUCCCUUCCAAAGAACCACUGACACUAUCACCUGUGUCAGAUUUGGAAAACAUGAAUACCUUUCUUAAGUUGGUCUUGUGGACUCAACCAAUAAAACUUUUCGACUAAAAUGCCCACGAUUUGAUGGGAUAGAUUAUCAAGGUUGUUGGUCCAAGUUAGAACAGUUUUUUGAAGCUGAAAAUAUAGAAAAGCAAACCAAUGUUUGAAUGGUAAUGUUGUAUUUAGAGGGUAAAGCCUUAAAUUGGCCCUAUUUUUUUGUGCAAAGACAAGGGGGAUUGUAUAAAUUGACAUGAGAGAUAUAUGCUCGAGGGUUGAGGGAUCAUUUUGGAUCUAACUCCUUCUUAGACCCCAUGUUAGAACUUGUCUCGCUCAAGCAACAGGGUUCAGUGGACAACUUCCAUGACCAUUUUUUAAAUUUAAUUAAUCAGUUACACCUAACUGAGGAUUAUGCUCUUAAUGUUUUCACUUGCAAUCUUAAACUUGAGAUAGGACAAUAUCUACGGCGGUUCAAGCUUCAAACACUGGUGGAUGGCUUUCAACUAGCUUGACAAGUUGAAUGAAUCGUAGUGGGUUCCCAAAGAAGAAUUUGAAUGUAGGUGGGGGGAUAAGUCACCUCAGGGCCCUAAUUCUUGUUCCUAAGGUGCAACAACACUAUAAUAACUUGGUGGGAUUUGGUGGACCUCAAAAUAGUAACUCAGGACAUAAAUUUUAUACCAAAUCCUUUUCUCAAGCUGAAAUACAAGAGAGAAGAAAGAAAGGACUUUGUUUCUGGUGUGCAUCCAAAUAGAGUCAAGGUAAUAAGUGUACCAAGUCUCAAUUGUAUUAGUUGGUAGUGGAACCUAAUUUAGAUCAUGAGGGGGCAAAGCAAAAGUCCAGUGUUUGGAGAAUUCCAAGAUUGUCCUAAAUAGUUGGAACUGUUAGAACAAGAAACGAAACCCACUGCCCUUCUCUUAUCCUUACACGUUCUCCAAAGUUCACAGGGACACAACACUAUGCAGUUUUCAGCUAGUAUUGGUCAUUCCAAUGUCAUUGUUUUGGUGGGUUCAGGAAGCACAUACAAUUUUCUAAAGUCUAAGUUGGUUAAGAGGUUGGACUUACCAGUGGAGCACUUUAGUCAGCUUCAUGUCAUAGUGGCUAAUAAGGUGAGAUUGAUUACUCAAGGAUUAUGCCGAGUUGUCCAAUGGAAAGCACAAGAAUAUGAUUUCACUACUGACUUUAUGAUCUUGCUAGUCAAGGGUUGUGAUCUUGUCUUGGGAAUUCAGUAGCUAUUAUCCCUAGGUUCUAUCAUGUGGAACUUCUCCUUCUUGACUAUGCAAUUUGAAUAUCAUGGUCAGAACCGUACUUUUCAAGGCAUUAUUCUUGGUUCGUUACAACUCAUAUUUGAGGGACAAUUAUCAAAAUGUUUGAACUUAUGACCUAGGGACCCUGUCCAAUGUUACUAGCAACUAGUGCUCAGACAAUAUUAACCUUUGCUCCUGUUCAAAUGAGUUCUGACAUGGUGAAUCUCUUAGAAAACUUUGAUGAUGUAUUUCAAACACCAAAGCGGUUACCCUCAACCAAGCUGCAAGACCACAGAAUUCCAUUAAUUGAUGAGAGUAAGGUAAUUAAAGUAAGACCUUAUAGAUAUCCAGCAGUGCAAAAAGCAGAGAUUGAAAAUCUUAAUCAUGAAAUGCUACAAACUGGGGUAAUUCAUGAUAGUAACAACCCUUUUGCUUCACCAGUUGUAAUGGUAAAGAAGAAUGAUAGUAGUUAGAGAUUGUGCAUAGACUACAGAUAACUCAACUAACUAACUAUCAAGGACAAAUUCUCUAUUUCUCUAAUUGAAGAGCUCCUAGAUGAGUUAGGCCAAACAAUAAACUUUUCUUUGAAGAGCUCUUAGAUGAGUUAGGCUAAGCAAUAUACUUUUCUAAGUUAGAUUUAAGGUCUGAUUAUCACCAGAUUCGAAUGUGAGAGGAGGACAUUCAUAAAACACCUUUUAAAACACAUAAGGGGCACUAUGAAUAUAUGGUAAUGCCCUUUCGGUUGACCAAUACUCUUUUCAAUUUCCAACCUUUAAUGAAUGCCAUCUUCAAAUAGUUGCUAAGGAGGUCAGUCUUGAUGUUCUUUGAUGACAUCCUAAUAUACUCUAAAAAUUGGUCAGAUUACAUAAUGCACUUGGGGAAGGUGUUGAAAAUUUUGAGAAUCAAUUAGUUGUUCGCAAAAAGGAGUAAGUGUAGCUUUGGCACUACUUAGAUCGAAUAUUUAGGAUAUCUUAUUUAUAAGCGAACAACUAGCAUGGAUUAGUCUGAGGUUGAAGGUGUCAUCAAUUGGCCUACUCCUAAAUCUGUUAAGGACCUAAGAGGGUUUCUGAGCUUAUCAUGCUACUACAAGAGGUUUACCAAAGGCUAUGUAAUUAUGGCUAAACCUCUCACAUCUCUUUUAAAAAAAGAUGCUCAUUGGCAAUGGAUUGAUCUCAUACAAUAGGCCUUCCAACGGUUUAAAGAAGCCAUAUGCCAAGCUCCAGUCUUAGUUUUACUUGAUUUUCAAGAAACAUUUUGUAUGGAAACGGAUGCCUAUGGACAGGGAAUGGGGGCAAUCUUACAACAAAAAGGAAAACUUGUGACAUUCUUCAACAAGGCUCUAGGAAUCAAACACCAAAUGAUAAUACUCUGGAAGGACAUAUUUUAUGUAUUAAUUACAUAUUUAUUUUGAGUAUGAUCCUACUAAUUUGAGCUAUUUUUGUUUUUUUAUCUUGUAGGGACUAAUCGAAGGCAAAAGAAAAUUUAGGGGAAAAAGUGUGAAUAUAAAGAUAAAAUGGGCCAAAAUGCAAAAUAAGAAAGAAGUGGUGUCGAAAAUACAAAGUGUGGAAGACAUGGGGAUAAAAGUGCAAAGAAGAGAUUUUAUAAACGUAAGACUCUAUUUAAAUUUUAAUUAUAUUAGGAUAAUUGUUAAUAUUAUUAUUUAGAUUUAAUUUUAGCUUUUAUCUCUAUUUAUCUUUAUUUAUCUUUUAGAAUUUAGAUAGGAGUAGACUAGGUUUACUGAGUACUAUAAAUAGGGGAUGGAGUGAUACAAAUUUGCACUCAUAUUUUUCUGUAACACUCCCUCUUCCAAAAACUUAGCCUUUGUUCCUUUCUCUAUUCAAUAAAAUUCCAUUUUUAUUAAGUUUAUUUCUUUUUUCCCAAAAAGCAUGAGCCACUAAAUUUAUCUAGUCAAAAGUUUUCGAAAUUUUCCAAAAAGGGUUCAUAAGGCUUAGAAUCCGUACUUAACCUUCUCAACGAGUAUUCAUCGUUUCUCCACAUUAUGGGACUGACGCUUUCGUCUAUGUCCCUUUAAAAGUAAUCUUUUCAUCUUGCACAAAGGCAUCCGCUUUGUAUAUAUUGGGAAGGUUGUACAGUCGGUUCGUUAGCUUAUAGCGUUAGUGGUUAUCGAGCCCAAGAGAAAAAAUGGCGUGGCAUUCGCCAUUGAAAAGUGAUGAUUUAGUGUAAGACGGUCCCAUAGAAGCGACAGUUGGCUAGAGUCAGGUUUCUCUCAAUCAUAAGUUUAAAAUCUAAGUGGAGCUAGUGGUUGUUGGUGUCCUCUUCUACUAUAACUGGCUUAUUCUGUUCGAGAAGGAUCACUUAAAAGUCGAGGAUUGAACUCAAGGAAGAUCGAGACAACCGGAGGCUGGAAUCUCUCCAUAAAAACCUCUAUUCUCUCAACUCUGUUUAUUUUUACAAUUUCAAUUUCAAUUUACGCAUUCUUAAUUCAUCCAAACUUUUAAUUCUGUUUUUUUAUUUUUUUCCAGGUAAACAUGUUUUUUUGGGCACGACUCUAUUUGGGAUCUUGAGGAAUAGGAAUUUGUGCAAAUCCAACUCCUGAGGAUUUGACCCUACUUCCUUUAUACUAUUAUUUUCAUUAUUUUAUAGGGAUAGGAUAUUUUUGUGCUUUCAAUGAUACAUUACCAAACUUUGUCCAUUUAUGACAAGGAGAUACUAGCAGUAAAAAAAUGGCACCCCUACUUGAUAGGAAAGCAUUUCUAGAUUAAGAUUAACCAUCAAAGUUUGAGAUUUUUAUCUGAUCACCAAUCAAUCACUCUAUAUUAGCAGUAAUGGAAAGCCAAAAUGUUAGGGUAUGAUUAUUUCCUACAAGAAUGGGGCUCAAAAUAUGGUAGUUGAUGCAUUGUCUAGAAUAGCUAGUGUAUAGAAACAUUAACUUUUUCAAUGUACUAGCAAUAAUGCGGUCUGAAUUGUGGGGCCAAAUCAGUAACUCAUGCAUAAAUGAUGCCAAACUUUAACAGCUAAUUUAAGAGCUCCAACAACAACCUAAAUGUCACUCUGAGUACUAUUGGGAUGGUAUUGUCUUGAGGAGAAAAGGAAAAAUAGUAGUGGGAAAUGAUAUUAACCUUAGAAGAACUAUAUUUGAAUUAUUCCAUGGAGGAUCAGUGGGAGGCCACUUUGGGCUACAUGCCACAAGACACAGGAUUUCUAGUUUACUGUAUAAGGAUGUGAUACAAUGAAUUAGAGAAUGUGUCAUCUGCCAAAGAUACACGAGCGAUCAAUUAGCAUCACUUGGGCUAUUACAACCUCUUCCUAUUACAGAAAAAGGUUGGGCAACCAUCAGUAUGGAUUUCAUGGAGGGUUUACCUACAUCUAAGGGUAAAACCACCAUUUUGGUUAUGAUCUAUUAACUAACCAAAUAUGGCCAUUUCUUGGCUUUGGCACACCCCAUUAUUGCAUGGAUUGUGGCACGUGAGUAUCUUAAUCAAAUUUACAAGCUACAUGGCAUGCCUGAAUAAGUUGUUUUAGAUAGAGAUAGAGUAUUCCUAAGCCAGUUUUGGCAAUAGCUUUUCAAACACCUAAUAACUAAACUGCACCUGUCCACAGCUUACCACCCCAAACUGAUGACUAGACUAAAAUACUAAACAAAUGUUUGUAGGGGUAUUUACGAAGUAUGACAGGAAAGAGACCCUCUAAUUUGGUAUCCUCGCUACCACUAGCAGAAUGGUGGUAGAACACCACCUACUAUUCUGCCAUCCAAGCUACCCCUUAUUUUCACUCUAUGAACAGGAGCCUCCAAUUCAUUUACCCUAUCUAGUAGGAAUAUCUAAUGUAGAGAAAUUUGACAGAAACCUUCAACAUAGACAAACUAUGAGGAAACUACUUAGGUUUCACUUAAAACGUACUCAAGAAAGAAUGAAGCAGAUGGUCGAUAGAAGAAGGUCUGAUAGAGAAUUUCAGGUUGGAGACUUAGUCUACCCGCGACUUCAACCUUACAGGCAACAUUCGAUGAGGAAGCUUAAGAACCAAAAGCUCUCACCUAAAUAUUUUGAACCUUAUCCAGUGGAAGCUAAGGUGGGGAAGGUAGCUUACAGAUUACAGUUGCCUCAUGGAGCUCGAAUACACUCAACCUUCCAUGUCUUACAACUGAAGAAGCACAUAGUUUCAGCUAUCAGUUCACUAAUGCUACUCCUAACAGGAUCUGAUGGUGUCAUAUUGAAGGAACCAAUUAAUAUUCUAGAGAGGAGAAUGAUAAGGAAAAGGAUCAAGCUAUAACAGAGGUUCUAGUGGAUUGGGCUGACACAUUUCUAGAAGACUCUACUUGGGAGAAUUGGAACAACUUCAAGUAGAAGUAUUUAUCUUUUGAUCAUUGAGGACAAUGAUCAAUUUCGAGGGGAGGGUAUUUGUCAUGAAAUAGAAUAAAAGGCAACGAUCAACACAACAGUCAUGUUUAAAUUUCUAUUAAUUUCUGUUUAUUUCUGUUUCAGUCUUAAUUAUUGUAAAAUGUAACGUUUAGUUUAAUGUUUUAAUGAAACAACGCGUUUAAGAGGGAGGGUCAGAUAAGGUUCAAAUGACAACGUUCAGAGAUGUUUGUCAUUUAUUUGAAAUGAUAUGUUUUGUUAAAACUGUAUUAACAACCGUCAGUUGUUUGAGAAUGCCGUUACCACCCUAAAAACACCAAUCAAGGGUAGGGAAAGGCAAUUAUGAAAAUGAAUACAAUUCUCUCCUUUCUUCUAUAUUUCUAAUUUCACCCUCAACUUCUUCCUUUUGCUACCCCAUUUCUCUUCUGCCCUAAAGUUCUUCACGUGACAUAGGGCAAAGACUCACUUUGAUUAAAUCUACUCCCUCCUAUAUUUCUCUUUACUCUUUUUUUGUCUUUAAAACGCCCUUUGCUAUAUCUGAAGAUAUUAACAAAAGAAAUAGAUCCUUCUGGUGGGGCCAUGACUUGAAAACUAGAAAACUUCCAUUUGUAAUUGAGACUUGCCAUUUGUAAAACUAGUCUUUUCAAAGCCUUACUUUCAAAAGUUGCCUGAUGUCUCCUCAUUGACAAACAUUACCUGUUUGCUAGAGUUCUCACUGUAAAAUAUUAUACCAAUUCCUCCAUUUGAGUUGGUCAUACAUAAGCAUUCUACAACAAGGGUAAAGAUGUCCAACUCUGAAGUCGUCAAAAUAGUUGAAUUUCAUUUGAUCCUUUGUGGUCGCUUAUUGACACAAUAUCACACUAAGAAACUGACCCUAAGCCAAUUGCUUUAUCCUACCCUACAGAUUUACUGUAGAGCAAUCAAAAGUCUUAGGCUUCCUUAGCCUUAAAAAAGUGACUGAUCUAAUCAAUAGAACAACCUCCAUUCAAGGCGAACUUAAUAAAAUCAUUUAGAAGAAUGACUUCAAUGGUCUCUUCUCGGUUAAAAAUUCUUACUCACAACUCUACCAAACUUGUCUAAGAGUUGCUUCACAUGCCUCCAAGCAAGUCGCAUGGAGAAAUCUCCAGCGCUUAAAGAUCCCUUUUAAGAUUAUCUUCUUUCUUUGGAGAAUUUUUAAAAAUAACUUGCCUACCAAAGAUCUCCUCACCAGGAGACUAUCCAACAACGAUUCUUUUUGUCCUUUAUGUAAAGCAGAUAGAGAAAAUACUGAUAAUCUCUUUCUCAACAAUUCUUUUACAAGAGCAAUUUGGUUUGGAUCACUCCUAGUCUUUUGAACUGACUCAUUAACUGGUAUCCCCAUUUGAUUUGGAUUCUCUAAUGGCUUCAAGAUAAUGAUAUCUUCACGUGCUACUUAAGAAGUAUAUACACGACCAUGUGUUGUACAUUAGAUAUUUGGAAAAUAAGAAAUAAUCCCAUACUCAAAAGUUAUAAUCCAUGCCUUCUGGCAACAAUCAAGAUAAUCUCAGAGAUGACUUAAACAUUCUCAUCUUCUUCCCAAACAAAAUUUCUCUUGCUCUUUAUCAAAUAUCUCAUGCCCCUUCUCCGGUGAUUACCUCCACUCCUCGAUGGUCGCUCUCCCUCUUCAUUACUCAUAGUAGAGAAAAUAACCUAAUUGAAGGAGCUACUCUUACCCAAGACCCCAACAUUUUUCAGAUUAUAACUGUUUACAACUUCAGAUCCAUCAACAAGCUUUUUGUGCGUAUCCUCAUCUUCAAAGCUAUUGAUGCAUUGCGAAACUAACUAAAAAUUUGACUAAGACAAGUGCAUCUAUCAAUUAGUAGUAUAGCUACUGUAAGUAAAGGUAUCAUUCCCACCAAGACUAAAAGUACUAGUAAUUACUGUCUUUCUAUUAUUUAACCAAAUAAUUUGAGUGAUUGAUUAAAAACUAAAAUUAACUAAGUUAAUUAACUAACAAACACAAAAAAGAAAAAAUUACAAAAAUAAUUGAUUGACAACUAAGAAACAAGACAAUACCUAGGAAAGAAUUCAUCUAGAUUUCAUCUGUAACGCCCCAAAAAUUUUAGAAUUUAAUUUUGAGAAUCUGCAGUAAUUAAGACUCUAUAUCUGUGGUUGUGUGCUCUACUUUUGUGAUUAGGGUCUGGAGUUUGAGUCACGUCAUUAAGAGUUUUAUCAUUUUAGAAUAACCCUUAUUCGUACAUUACAUAGUUAAGUGUAAUUUCGUGUGAACUUAUGUCUAGAAUGAGCUUGCUGGUUCACUAGUUAAGCAUCUGUCUGUAUUUUGUCUGGUCUUGAGUUUGAAGCUCAUUGUAUACGUUAGGAAAAAAAAUUUGCUAACUGUCAAAUUUUUGGUUGGAAGUUAAAUCAAUUAAAGUAACGUUUCUUCUUCCUUUUCUUACUCUUUUUCUUUUUUUUUUCCCUUUCUCUCUUUAUUUCUCCUUUUCUUCUUCUGCUUCUUUUUGUUCAUCGUAUUAUUGGUCAUAUGCCUUGUUACUUUGUAACGUCUUCUUAGACUUGUGUUUUUCCUGUUACUGUUGUCAGUAAGUUGUUUCGAAAAGCUCUGUGAAUUGGUUGUUACUCUUUUGCCAUGGUAUUGGUUUCGCGAUUAAUGGCGAGAUUUUUUUUGUUUGCAUGUUAAUUGUUGGCCUUAAGAGGAAGCCUCGAGAACGACGGUCCCUCUAACAUUCAUAAUUCGUGAAUUUCAUUUGGACACGAAGGUAAUGGUGAAAUGGAAUUAGGAUUUUGUUGAAAUGUGUCGAUGUCGCGUUAAAACUUAGAAUCAAUGGUGAUUUAUUGUUAUUUGACUAUUAACUGUCAGUUUUAGGAGUUAGAGAAUUCCUACAUUGUUGGUACUUUGAAAAUUACUUCAGGUGUGUGCCGAAAACUCCAAUUUUACAGAAUUCAAUAACCGAAAACCAUGUUUAUUGAUGCCAUAAGGCCAAGCACACGGGCGUGUGUCCAGGCUGUGUAAGCUACACAGCCGUGUGCCAAGCUGUGUGGGCGGCCGUGUAACUCACUGUUCAUCGACUUGGGGCUGUACGGGCGAGCCACAUGAGCGUGUUUUCAAGCCGUGUGUGUGGCUGGCUUUGAUCCUGACCUCCUUGAUGUAUGAAAGAUCUGAAUUCGAUUGUAUGCGAGCUCUCUUACGCUCAAUGAUUGACAUAUGUAUAGCAUAAUUGUUUGUAUACUAUGAUUAUUAUUUCUGAUAUUGAACAGCACUUUAUAAAUGUGGAUAUUGUACACUGCAUAUGUAUAGGUUGGGAUACUGUGAAGAAGAAAGUACUCUGUUCCGAACUAGUGGCUAAACCAUAAUGCGAGAAACUCUGAAUCUUGCACUUUGAUGCAUUCUGAUUUGGCAGUUAAGUUGCGACUCUAUAAAUGUGUCAGAUAGACACUAUAUGGUGUGUAAGGUUGGACGAGCAUUGAACGCCCUAUAUGGUGUGUUUGGAUGAUCGAAGAUGGUGUGUAAAGGUUAGGGGUAGGAAAACUUGCAUAUGAAACCGAUCUGUUCUGUAAAUAAAACCAAAAUUGCUUCUGCUUCUAUAACUAAACUGUUCUGUAUCUAAACUGGAAUGACUUCUGUUGCUUAAUCUAAUCUCAAAAUUCGAGAAUGAUCUUUCAAUUGUAUUUCAUUUGAAUGAACCUCUUUUAUGCACUGAGUUCAUAACUCACUCUGUUAUUGAUUAGAUCUUAGGUGGUUCUCAGACAUGAAUGGGUCAGUGUUGCCGGAGCUCGGUCAAGUUUUUAUCGUUUUCUAAAUACUACUAUUAGGAAUUUUGAUUUUCUAAGAUAUUAUAAAGUUUGGAAGGAUUUUAUAUUUAGUUAAUCGUUGUGUUAGAUAUUAUGUAGUAACUGGUUUAUUCUGACUGUGUCAUAAAUAUGGUGUUCUUAGUAUCAUUUAUGUAACUUUCUAGACUUAGUCUGGAUGUUUAGGCUGGUUUAGGGUGUUACAUCAUCUAUCACUAUCAAUCUAAAUUAUGCAACUUCUUUACUUAGUAUCUUGAUCCGUAGAAAUCCCUAAAUCAUGCAAAUAUCUCUUUCGAGCAUAAGAGCAAUUGACUCUAGGUUGAUUAAUUAAAAUUACUUUGUAAUUAAAACCCUAUUAUCGCAUUAACUCAUGCUAUGAAUUUCCCUAUUAGAUUUGACUCUAAUCCAGUAGAUUUAUGUUUUCCUAUUUUUAGGAUUGAAUGCAACUCCAUUCAAUUAAGCAAGAUCUACUCUUAAACAUGGUCUAUUCAACCAACAAUUUAAGCACAUCAAAUAUGGAUCAAUAAAAUAGAAAUAAGAAAUCAAGAAUUAAGCACACAUAAUUGAGAACAAUAAACUAAAUAUUUAUCAUGUAAAAUAAAAAUCAAACGACAAAAUCUAUCAUAUAGUUCAUCUCCCCUAGGUAUUUAGAAAAUUAAUUCAUGUUUGAAAAUAGAAACAUUCAAGAUACAAUAUAACCGAAAGAAAUAAAGAAAUUCAUGAUAACUUUCUAAGAAAUCAAAUGAGAAUCUUCAAUCUUGACGAGAAUAUGCUUCAAAAUCGACUUUAAUGGUGUUUUUCGAGUUAUUUUCUUGAGUAUUCUCUGGCGAGUCACUCCUAUCUUCUUAUUUUUGUCAUAUAUACGUCUUAGAAUGCUUGAAAAAUCUAAAAGUCAUGAUUUUUCGUUGUUCGGUGCGCAAUUCUGUGAAAUCGAUACUGUUUUACCACACGACCGUGUGAUUUGCCGUGUGAAGUGGUUAACCUUGUGUGGAUCCUACAACUUGCUUCGAUGCUUUAGUUUUUCGCUCUUUUUGUUUCCAAGUGCUCUAUUAAGUAUAAAAAUAUAAAAUUAAAGGAUUGGGAGUAUAAAAAUCAUAAUUAACAUCGAAUAAUCACCCAAAAACAUAUUAAGAAUGAAGUUAAAACAUGUUUCUUUUAGCAUUUAUCAACUAUCCUAUUACUCUUUAGAUAUUUUAAUGUUAAUUACUACAAGUUACUCACUACAAACAAUAACUGGAAAAAAAUAAUCAUGGAACGCUCCAAAAUAGGAUGAAAAUUGCAGCUAACUUUUUAAGACAUUAAACUUCUCCUCCAAUACAUCAAAUAGCUCUGCAAUCUUUAAGCAAUUGCCACAUGAAGGAAGAAACUUCCCAGUGGACUAAUAUUGCUUCAAAAACAUUUAUUAGCUUUAUUUGGCCUAACUUUUUCUUCUCUUGCCUUAUACCAAAACAAAAAAAAUAGUAUCUUAGUAGUUAAGGCCAACUAUAAGCAACAAAUGUUUGAGUGACACGUUUGACCAUGUGUGCCCUAAUGGGUGCCGUCUUAGUAGGUACUUGAUAUUAAAAUGUUGCAUUAGUAGAUGAAUAUAAUGUAUUAGUGUUUCUAGCUAGGAAUGGAAGAAGGUAAAGGAUUUUAUGAAUUAUUCAAAUUUGUAACAAAAUUUAAAUUUUGAUUCCAUCUAUUAUCUUUAAGUUAUUCAAAUAUUAUUAUAUAAAUUUGAAUCUGAUUUAAAUACAACUAUAUGUUAACUUUCUGAUUUCAUAAAAAAUCAAUUUUAAAAUUUCUAAUCAUUUCAGAUAAUGAAAUAUGUAAAAAUUUAAUUUUGAAUACGUUAAAAUUCAUUUUUCAUUAAUAUAUCCGCUUACACAUCUCUGUAUAUUUUUGUACGAUUAAUAUUUUAACGAUCUAGUCAUAAUAUUUCAUAUUCCAUUUACUUAUAUUAUGCAUGUCAAAUUUGAUAUAAAUUUAAAAAUUCAUACUAUUUCAAUGGUUGUAUCGUUAAAAUAAUAAUUAUAAAAAGAAAUAUAUACGGAGGAGUGUAAACCCUCCCCCUAUAUAUAUAAUGAAAAUUAUAAGGAUUUUAUAACUAGUAAAUUUGAAUAUCCAAAUCUGCAUUUAUUAUCUAAAUAAAUAAUGUGAAUUCGAAUAAUAGUUAUUUGAAAUAUCUUUUUGCACCCACUUUAAGUUAGUAAUGGAUAAUAAUUUUAAAAUCCAAAUUCACUCUAUUCAAAUCAGCAAAAAAAAAAAAUGAAUAUUUACAUAUAUCUAAAUCUUCCAUUCGAAUUACCAUCCAUAGUUCUAGCUUCCACUGAACUACCAUCCCUCCAUUAUAUGCUUCCAUUUUCCUGGCAGUCUUCAUAUACACACCCAUAUGUUUCCAACUGCAUAACACAUUGUUUGUGUUCCUGCUCCUUAUCUGAUUGGCUUGUUUGGAAAAAAAAUUGUUCGGCCUUUUAAUAGUUGAUCUUUGAAGACAUUUAAUAGCUCUUUAGUGUAUACUUUACGUGCAAGAAUCAAGUUUAAGUAAGGACUGAAUUAGUAAGCAUUUUAUGCUUAUGUAUUGAAUGACUUGUUUUAGGUUAAGAAAGUAGCGUGUAAGAGCACUUAAUUUGUUCAAUUAGUAAUUGUUUUUAUGAGUGCAAAACUGUAAGUAAAUUGAAUUGCAUUCAUCAAUUCAUAUCUAAACUUUCAAAGGGGAAAGUGAUCUAGUUCAAAGUAUAGGAGGGAGAUUGCAAUUUAAUGAGUGAGUUAAAUCUAAAUCAUAGCUUGUACUUAUUGUUUAUAAUAGAUUACUCUCUAAGUGAGGCCCUACUGAUGUAGGAAGUGUCCAAAUUGUGUGAACAAUUUUUUGGUGUCCACCUCCAUUUUUACAAUUAAUAGUUACUUCAUUUAGUUGUAACUAAACUUAUAUUAGAUAGGCAAAAAUAAAAAUAAAACUAAAAAACCUUUCAAAAUAAUGCAUACACUCGUAAUAUCGACAUUGAGAAAUUGUUUUCCUAUAACACCUCUUUUCUUGGAUCCAAUUUUCCUCCUAAAAACACCACUUAUCAACAUUGAGAAAUUGUUUGUCUAUAACAUCGCUCUUCUUAAAUUCGAUUUUCGUAUAUAUACUUUUAAAAAUUCUCAUUAGACCUAUUUUUGAAUUUUUUUUAAUAUAUAUAAAAUUUAAUUGGUAUCCUCGAGAUAAGUUUUAUAUAUUUAUAUGACUCAAAUAUAUAAAUUAAAAUAAAAAAGUAGAAAAUACAUUAUUAUUUAUCUUUUCAUUUUACUAACAUUUACUAUUUUUUCAAGCUAAUUGGUUUCUCAUAAAUGACAAUUUAUAAUCAUUUAAACUUCAGCGUCAUAACAUUGCUUAUUUCAGAGGUUUUUUUUUUUAAUGAAACUAAAAGUUAACAUCUAAAAUUAUAUUGAAUUUGGGGACAACUUUAAUUGAUAGGAAUUGGAAAUCCACAUUGUAACAAAUAUACUUCCUUACAUUCUCAAAGCAAUGUGGAAAUGAAUCAGAAGAUAUUAUACAUGCCUUACGUACGUGAAUGCCCUAUUGCGAAAGAUGAGUUGGCUUUAUGUGGAUUUUCGAAUCAGAUUUGCGAUGGAGACCUGAAAUCACAGCUCGAGAACCCAAGGAAGAUGAUUUUGACAGGUUCCUUUUUUUUUAUUUGGACAAUAUGGAAAUCGAGAAAUGCUUCAUUUUUUCUCAAUUUCAAUGAUACCGAUGUGAGAAUUGUUGAAAGUACUAAGAAUUGCUACAAGGAUUUCACUGAAGCAAAUGUGAGAAGCAAAAGUAGUGCUGGUUAUUCACAUUGCCGCCCAUGGAGAAGCCCAACCUCCAAUUUUAUUUAGGUCAACUUUGAUGCUAAUUUUAAGGCAUCAAACAACGAUGGAGGGGUGGGAGUUGUGUUAAGAGACUUUGAAGGAUUUGUGGUUGGUGCAGCAGCUUUGAAAUUGUCAAUUGUAGCAAACGUUGCUAUAUUGCGGAAGUUAUUGCAGCUGUUAAAGCUAUUGAAACGAUUAAUGACACGAGAUUUUCCUAUGUUAUUAUUGAAGGUGAUGCAAGAAUGAUUAUGAAAGGAUUGAGUAGUAAAGAGGAAAAGUCCCAGAUUGGGCCGAUUCUUGACAAGGUCAAAUCCUUCGUAUCAACCUUACGCGCGAUGAGAAGGCAACAAAGCUGCCUAUGAGCUUGCAAAUUUUAGCAGUAUUCUUGAUAAUGAUUUGUAUUGGAUUCAGGACUAUCCUUCUUGUAUCCACCAAGCCAUUUUGAUUGAUGUUGUCAAUCUCUAAUGAAAUGUUUGAUGUUCCAUUCAAUAUAUAUAUAUAAUUUACUCGGUUUUUUUUUAUCGGUGUUUAAAAGCUACAGUUAGAAUAUAAUUAAAAAAUAUCAAUAACUAACAUUACAAAUACAAACUCAAAAUUACAAAAAAUUAACAAAUAAUCUUUUAGAUUUUCACCCCUAAUACAUGAAAAUUAAAUAUUUUAUGCUGUAAUUAGGAGUGAAUCCAGAAAUUUUUUUAGGGUGAUAAAAUUAAAUUAUAAUUUUUACGAUAGUAAAAAUGUAAUUUCACCAUUUUAAUAACUUAUAUCUUUAUACUUUUUAAAGGAUUAAAUCAAAAUUUUAUUAUUUUUAGGAGGGGUAAAGUGUAAUUUUACCUUUAUUAACUUAAAAUUUUAAAAGAGUUUAAAUGAAAAAGUUUCUAUUUUAGGGGGAUUGGGACCCCUACCAACCCUUCUAGUUACGCCCCUAACUGUAAUGUAAAUUUUAAAAAAAAAUAUGUCAAUUUGUAUAUGUUUAGAUUUAAUUAUAUAUAUAACAGAGUAAUAUAUAUACAUAAUUACUAAAUAUUAAAUUAAAAUAAUUAUGGAAAAAAAUUAAAAUAAUUAUAUUUUGGAAAAAAAAAUAGUCGAAUCUAAAAGAGCUUAGGUUAACCAUUUACAAAUACUAAUUUCUAAUAUUACACGCGUUUAAUUGUUAAUUACUUUUUAAAUAACAUAUUUUUAAUUAGUGUUACCUAUCCUUGAUGUUGGUAAUUUCUCUUAAUUUUUAAAUAAUACAUAAAUUUGGAAUUAUAUAAAAAAAAUAAACUACAAUGUCAAUUUAAAAAUAAAAAAUAAAAAAUAAGUAAAAUAACAUGUAGCAAUAAUAAUAAUAAUAAUAAUCCAAGAUAAAUAAAUAAAAUCCAAACUAAAUUAAUAAAUAUAUUUAAUAAUAUUGGUUAAAAAUAAUUGUUGAAAUUUGAUUUUCUUUUCAAAACAAACCCACGGAACAUUAUACACCCACACCAAAUGAUUAUAAAGCUCUACUAUUAAUUAAGCGAUAAUUAAGAUGUUUAUUCAAGUAAUAAUUCUAUUUUGUAUCAAUAAGCACAGUUAAAAAUUAAAUAAAAUUAACACAACUUUUUUAUGUCAAAAUUUUUAACUAAUAAUUACAAAUUAAAUUAUAAUUAUCAUAUUUUUUUAUAUAUAUUAUGCUUAGAGUUCUAUCCAAAUAAUAACUCUAUUUUAAAAUUAACACAGCUUUUUUAAUUAAUAAUUCUAAAUCAAAUUAUAAUUAUUUUUAAAAUUAAUUUAGUAAUAUGAUGAAAAAUAAAUAGUAUUCUCGUUAAUUCAAAACUUUUUUUAAACUCAUGUUUUUAUAUAUUAUAGAUUAGCAGGACUGGGCAAAAUUUGAGGUUCAUCUUUCGAGUUGGGUCAAGCUUGGAUAACUAUACAUGAUAUUAAUACCAGUGGCGGAGCUAGAAAUUUUUUUGGGGGACCAGAAUUAAAUUGUAUAUUUUUAUGAUAGUAAAAAUGUAAUUUUUAAAUGAUUAAAUCAAUUUUUUAUCAUUUUUGGGAGGCCAAAGUGUAAAUUUACCAUUACUAAUUUAAAAUUUUAUAAAGUAUAAAUGGUUUAAAUAGAAAAUUUUUCAUUUUAGGAGGGACCAGGACCCCUGCUAGCCCCCCGUUGGCUCCACCACUAAUUAAUACGUACAUAAGCCUAAUCGGAAUUUGAUCUCAUAAAUACAUCUAAUGACAACUUCCUAACUUGAGCAUUUUAACUCUACUAAAAUAGAGUUUGAAUAUUAGAGUAAUUAUUAUUAGAAGGGCUUUAUCUAAAUACCACUUCAAAUCGAACAUUAAAACCUUAAAACAAAUAAAAACGCCUGAAAUUAAAAAGAAAAAACAAUAUAAUUAUUCAAACGAUAAUACAUAGAAUAUAUAUUUUAUUAAACAAAACAUAGAGUUAUUUCCAGGAAAUCAUUUCUUUUCCUAUAUAUACUACUUUACCUUAUCGAAAUUCAAAGGUAUCAAAAUUUAAGAUUUAAUCCGAAUGUUGAUAAAAGUUAAAAUUAAAUUUUUUUUUUUUACUUAUUGGCACUAUUGGGAUUUUCUUUAAUUUUCUAAUAAUAAUAUUUUUCUUUUAAAGUUUGUAUAAUUAUAAGAGUGAAUUAAUAAAAAAAAUUAUGAAAAAUAUUAACAAAGUCCACCAUCAGAUUAUAAUUUUUAAAUAAAAAAUAUAAGGGACUAUAUCUCAACCUCAUUCAAAUACAGAGAUUAGCUGGAUAAUUUUGACCAAUUUUAAAUUUAUUUUCCAUAUUACCUGCCAUCAAAUUCAUGAACUCAGCAAUUAAAUCACUAAAAAAAAUCUCAUUCAUAAACCGUUGUUGAAAAUGAGAUAUUAACGAACUUAUAUAAAUGUAGACCAAAGAAUAUUUCCUGUUUGAUAAUAGUUCCAAGUUAUAUAUUGUUGGAAUAAAUUCAACUGUAACUUAAAAAGAAAGAAAGAUAAAGGCUUGGAGAAAAAAAAAUAAUUGUUGGUUGAUUCACAUUUUUAUUCACCUAAACAAUAAAUACGAUUAGUACGGUUCAAACUCAAAUUACACUCGAGAUAAUGAAUACUCUUGAUCAUCAAGUGACCAUCAAGCAACUUACCAUGUUUUAUGAUCAACAAUCUUCUAAAAUUAGCAACAGUAAUGAAGCAAAAAUUCAGCAAGGUUGUUUUGACUGAAUCUUAGAACAACUUUAACAUUCUAUCCUUGCUUUGGUUGCUGCAAACUCCAAGUUUCUCUCUAAGAAACUCAAACUUCUUCUUGGUAACGGCUUUGUAAAUAUAUUGGGUAAUUGAAGUUUAGAUUUGCAGUACUUUAAACUAAUUGAACCUUCUUUCUGCACUUUUUUAAGAGAAAACAGGAUUGUUAGAGAUAGAAAUUGCAGCUUGAUUACCAACAAACACUUUUGUGCAUCUUUCUUGCUUCAGAUUCAAAUUCACUAAAACUUUUCUUAAUCACAAAGCUUGAUUAACAGCAGCAUUGGCUGCAAUAAAUUCAGCUUCUGCUAUAGAUUGUGUCACCGUAUUCUACUUUUUGUAGCACCAUGAGAAAACACACAACCAAACUUGAAACAUUAGAUUUUGUCCGACAUGAAUAUGAUUUUGGAAUUUUACCUAAAUUAUUUCAAAUUUGUAAAUGAUUAAUUCAAGUCCAUUUAAAUAAUUUUUUAUUUAAUAUGUAACUAUAUAUAUCUUUUACUACCAUUAUACUUUUUUAUGAAAUUUCUAAACACAAACAACUUUAUAUAAUAUUUUAAUAUUUGAAUUAUAGUAAAUAUAUUUAAUUUUGAUAUGAUACAAAUUACCAAAAAAAAAACAUAUUAUAAACUUGAAAGUGGACUAAAUUGGAUCAAGGUGACAUGUCAGACUUCAAUUUGGCAAGAUAGAAAAUCUUUGUUAUCUCGGGAUCCCAAAUCGCCACUAUGGAUAUAAAAUAAAAAUAAAAAUACAAGUUAUUAGGGAAUGGAUUGUAUGAAACUGUAAAUAAUUUAGGACUUGUGUUAUUUUGGUAAAUAAUUAUUGUUUUUAUAAUAUUUUAGUGAGAAAACCAUAUUUGUUUUAAUAUUUUUAUCUAGUGUAAAUUAUACCUGAGGCCACUAAACUAUUAGUAAGUUUACAUUUUGUUCACUUAACUUCAAAAAUUUAUAAAAUGGUUAUUGAACUAUUCGAUAGUUUUUGUUUAAGUUACUGGGUUGUUAAGUUUUUUUUCAACAUUCGGCUAGCGUGCUUUAAGCGACUAUUCAACAAUCGGUACAAUGGAUUAGUACCUAUCGACAAGUAGAAGAACAUACCCUAGGUCCAAGUCAAUCUAAUAGUCAAUGUCAGAGUUCAGAGAAAAAAUUAUUUAGAUUUAGGUGUACAAAUUUAUAAUGUUUAAAGUUAUUUCAUAAAAAAAGUUGAACUAUAGAAAAAAAAGGAAAGGAGAUCAGCCUUUGAUUAGUACAAAUAGUGCCAACAAAAAGAGUUAUACAAUAACAAUUUUUACAUUAUGGUGACUUAAAUAAAAAUUUCUGAAUAGUUGAAUAAAAUUUUUUAUUUUUUAUAAAAUUGAGUGUACAAAUCAUAAAUUCAAUAUUGGUUUAAUGAUGUUAGGUGUGUUCCACCUAUUAACAAAACUCUUUUAAUUUUUGAACAAUAUUUAAAUUUGGACAGGUAGCUGUUGGUAGUAUACCAAUGAUUAUUUCCAAAUUAGCAACAUGAAAUAUUUCAAAUGAAAAAAAAAUCUUUAAUUUUUGUCAGUUUAUGUGCUAGAUAUCCUACAGGAUCGGGACUACUGGCAGAUUUACGUCAAUUUUUAGUGGUCGCAAUGGCUAGUCACUGUUGUGGGACAAGUUUGGGGCAAAUGCAACCCAUUAUAGUCUGAUCCUUUGUCAGUAAGCCAUCAAAAAAAUGAUCCGUUACCUAUCACAAAACAAACAGUAGCUAGUGAACGACCAUACACAUUUACUAUAAAUUUUCAGCCCGCCCUUACAUUUCAAGCGGCAAAGCACAAAAGAAAAAACAUGCCAAGGAUUAAGAAGCUCUUUCAACUAAAAUAUUUUCCCUCACUCUUUGAAAUCAUUCGUAAAACAUCAAGGAAGUUGCCUUAUCUAAGGUUGAAGUUCAGCCAAGGCAUCCCUGCAUCAACUCAAUUCAAGUUUCUUAAGAAUUCCUCGUUUACAGAUGAGGUUUCAAACCAGACAUUGGUUUUUCAUUUAGAGGGUGCAUUAUUGAAGGCAUAUUCACUCUUCCCUUACUUCAUGUUGGUAGCUUUUGAAGCUGGUGGACUCUUUAGAGCUCUCAUCUUGCUUCUUUUGUACCCUUUUGUUUGGUUACUCGGCCAUGAACUUGGACUCAAAGUUAUGGUAUUUGUCAGCUUUGUUGGUAUUAAAAAGGAGAAGUUCAGAGCCGGGACUGCUAUUUUGCCUAAGUUUUUCCUUGAAGAUGUUGGUGUUGUGGGGUUUGAUAUGGUGAUGAAGUAUAAAACAAAGGUGGCAGUCACUUCAAUGCCUAGGAUCAUGGUUGAAUGUUUCUUAGGUGACUAUUUGGGAAUCCAUGUUGUUAUUGGUAAAGAGUUAAAGGAAUUCCAUGGUUACUUCUUAGGUUUAAUGGAGGAAAACAUGGAUCCUGCAACAAUGUGUAUUAACAAUAUUGGUUUAGGUUGUUUCAGAAAUUCUCGUUACCAGAAAAUUUUCUCUCGUUGCAAGGUAAACCCUUUUUUUUUUUCAAUGUUUUUUCAUUGAUUUUGUUUCCAAGAUUAAACAUUUCAAAGUGAUCAUAUAUAUAUAAUGAUCUAAUCUUUAUAAAACUGUUCGAAUGAAGGUUAAAUUUUUCAAAAUAAUUAAAUAAGGCUUAACUUUUUUGAAAAUGUUCAAAUAAGGAUUUUUUAAAUAUUGUAUAUCAAAUUUUGAAUUAUGUUUUAAUUACUUUGUUUUCUUUUUAAAUAAUAUUUGAUUCAGAUCUUAUGUGUUUUAUUCUAAAUGCGUCCAACAUUUGUCUAUUUUUUUUUUAUAAAUUAAACUGAAAUGCGUAAAAAAAACUUAAAUUGAUAUUUUUGUAAAUGAUAGGCUCUUAUUUAACUAUUUUAAAAUAUUCGACCUUAGUCAAGCAACCUCUAAAAGAUUUGAGCUCUAUUUUGAGCAUUUACCCUUGUUGUUCAGUACAUAUAUUUAUUGAUUGAAAUUUUUGAAACAGGAGAUUUACUUAGUGACCGAGGCAGAAAAGAAGAAGUGGCCAGUCCUUCCAAGGAAGAAAUCUUUAAAGCCAUUGAUCUUCCAUGAUGGAAGGUUAGCUUUUAGGCCAACCCCAUUAAACACCUUAUCUAUGUUCGUUUGGUUACCAUUUGGUUUCCUCCUCCACAUAACUAGAAUCAUGGUUUUCAUUUCAUUGCCUUUCAAGGUCUCUGGACCUUUAUUAGCUUUUUCCGGGAUGAUAAAUACGGUAUCGCAUUCGAACGUUGAAUCUUCCGGUGAAGGAAAAAAAAGAGGCAUGCUCUAUGUAUGUAACCAUAGAACAUUACUAGACCCAAUUUAUUUAACCAUUGUUUUGAUGAAGUCUGUCUCCGCUGUCACCUACAGCGUUAGUAGGUUCAGUGAGGUAAUUUCACCUAUCAAGACGGUCCGGUUAACACGAGACCGAAAAACAGACGAAGAAACAAUGAAGAAGAUGUUAAGCAAAGGGGACUUAGUGGUUUGCCCUGAAGGAACCACUUGCAGAGAGCCUUAUCUGCUAAGAUUUAGUCCCUUGUUCGCGGAGAUCACCGAUGACAUCGUCCCCGUAGCUAUAAAAUUGCAGGUUAGCUUGUUCUAUGGAUCAACAGCCAGUGGACAAAAAUGCCUAGACUCAGCAUUUCACCUCACGAAUCCCAAUCCUACAUGCUUGAUCAUGAUUCUAAACAAGUUACCGGGCUGGCAAACACAUAAUGCCGGAGGGAAAUCGAAAUUCGAAGUUGCCAAUUAUGUGCAGCGUCAGAUUGCAACUGCAUUAGGAUUCGAGUGUACCAAUCUUACAAGGAAAGACAAAUAUGCGAUCUUGGCUGGUAACGAUGGGAUCGUAUAGGACGAAACAUGCAUCCGUUUUUCACUACAACACACACACACACACACACAAAAGGUAGUAGUUGUUAAAACAGAACAGGCUUGGUUGCAAAUAAUUUAAUUGUAUUAGGAUAAUGAAAGUGCAGAUUUUGUUCUUUGCACUUGUGCUUGUUUGUCUGAUUAAACAUGCUGUGCUGUAGUUUUGAUGAAAUUUGAUGCAAAAGAAUAUCAAUGUAUAGCAACAAUAAGCUAAAAUUACAAUUUAAGUCCUUGUGCUAUACUCUGGAUUGCAUUGUAGUUCUUCCUUUUGGAAAAUGAGCAAACUGAUUAUUGUACAUUAACAACGAGAGAAAAAUGAUCCUUUGGUUAGUUUUUUACCGUUAGAUGCGUAGGUUAGCUUUUACAUCGCUGAUUUGGAUUCAAUGGCAUGUAAAAAAACUUGAUAGAAAUUACACGUGUCAUUUAGUCAUUGAGUUUUAGAUAAUGACAAUCACAAAUUUUGAACAUAUAUCGUAAAACAAAUACGAAGAAUACUAAAUUUAUCUACUCUAAACCAAUAUUUUCAAGCAUCUCAAGUCUUAUAAUUAAAUAUGCACCUUUUACCAAGAUUUUCAAAAUUGGAUUGGUGGUCAAACCAGUUAGGUCACUUGUUUACAGCUCCUAUCAAUUUGACUGAUCCGAUUAAACAAAUCAUUAAAAAAUUAAUAAAAAAAACUAAAAAUUCAAUUCAAUUGGUCUAUAUCGAUUCUUAGAUUAACCGAUUCAAUGCCCUUCUUUGAACAAAUACUCUAACUAGUUCCCGGUCCAACCAACUGAUUCGGUUUGAAGCAAACUCGACUUUCACUCUCCCUAUUUAUUAUACAAUAUUUGCAAUUUAGGAACAUGCAAUCAUAUAAAUGAAAGCAUAAUUGAACACCGGCAACUCAUGAAUAAUUCUUUCAUUCUAUCUGGUACUAAGGCCAAACAAAGAAUGUAAGAGAUCGUAUACAAACCUCAAAUGCAAACCCAACAUGGCAAAAUAAACAAGCAAAGAAGAAAAUUAUAAAUGAGGGUAUUAAAACCCUAAAAAAUUAUAGACAAAGAAAACCUUCAAAAAUAAAUCAAGGUCUGAGGUAAUUGGUAUAUCUAUUCCUUGGGAGCAAAAUCCACAACUAAGCUAGCCCAUCUCUUGUUCUAGCAAAAUUAAAUGAGGUAAUAAAAACCUAAAAAAAUAGGGGGGAAAACCAUAUCCACAUAAAUUAACAGUUCAAUACUUUAUGAAUUAAGCUAAUCCAAAAAGAGAAGAGAAAAAAAUGUCGUAAAUUGUCAGGGCCUUGGUUUUCAAGAAAAAGGUCCGAUUAGAAAGGGACGGUUGAGAUCGUACAUUCAUGGGGACGUGAUUAAGAAUGGAAAGACUCCUUUUCUUUUAAUCUAUAUCACCCACAUUGCUGCACUAUUUAUACAACUCUAAUGGAGUAGAGUUGCUCCACAUAUUUGGUUUUGAUAUGUUUUCUUUAAGGGUAAAUUCCACUAAAAGUCACUAAAUUUAUUAACAAGUUUAUAUUUGGUCACUUAACUUCAAAAUAUUACAAAAUGAUUACUGAACUAUUCAAAAUUUUUUUUUUAAGUUAUUGGGUUGUUAAUUCUUUUUUAAAGUCUAGGUAGUGAACUCAAAGUAAAGAUUUAACUUUAGUAUGAUGGAUUAGUACCCAUCAAUAAAUAGAAGAACAUAUCUUAGAUUCAAGUGACUUGACGGUAAAUAUCACAAGAUCGAAGAAGAAAACUGUUUGGGUUUUGGUUCGCAGAUUUGUGAUGUUCAAAGUUAUUUCAUAAAAAAAAUUUGAACUGUAGAAAAGGAAGAGAAUGUCAUACAACAAUGAUAUUAAUAACCCAAUAGCUUAAAUGAAAACUUUUGAAUAGUUCAGUAAUCAUUUUUACUAUCCAUAUUCGGGUUGGCAACUACUUCUCUUAACAAUAUCAUUUCAGUGUUCGAUUUUAUAUUUUCUUCUUAAAAAUACAAUAUAUCUUAUCAAAUGAUUAUGGUAAACUUAUGCUCUGCUUCGGUUUAGAAUCAUAUAUUUUACUGCUUUGUAAUAUUUUACGUAUUAUUUUCAUAUUUUUAGUAUAUCAAUUAACUAUGUAAAUUAAAAUCAUAUCAUAGAUAUUUGUACAUGUCAAGCGUACUUUAUAUAAUACAAAAAAUAUAUUUGUAUAAUAUUUAAAUAGAGAAAUCGUUAAUGAAAGAAGUGCAUGAACAUGAAAUGUAAAAGACGACAUCCUUGCAAAUGUAUGGUAGAGGUAGAUGCAGCAAUCACUGCACUUACCCCAUUGCAUUGCUAUUCUUAAUUCGAACAAUCUCAAUCACAUUUAUAGGAUAUUUUGAGAAUGAGAGGUUGGAAUUGUAAUUUAUUACUUGUCCUUUAAAGUAAGAGACAUCUUAAGAAGACGUGGACAAAAGUCCAUAAUGUACAAGUGGACGUGUAAGAUGUAUCUGAGUAAAGCAAGCAGUUAGCUUUUGGUGGUAAUUAUGAGAGCUUUUAAAGAUGGAUGACAACAAGCCUUCCAUCCAUAUAGACCUCUUUCAACAACCUAAUGAAUGACAUAAUUAACUUACGCCCUACAAUGAAAAGGAAUUAUGAACAACAUAAACUUACUAUUUCAUUUAUUGAUUGCUUCCCAUCAAUAUCAUAAAAAAAUAUUCAGUUAGAUAGAGGUUUUAUAUUAGGAGUUAGAUUACAUUUUACUCUUUUUAUUUUAAAAAGGAUAAAUUAGUUAUUUUAUAUUAGAUUAAAGAGCAAACUGAUCCUUUUAUGUUAAAUUUUUCAUCCAUUUCUAAUGUUAAAAACUGAUAUGGAUGAUAGAAUAAUCAGAUAGUUACAUAUGGUACAACCUCAUUUUGAUGUGCAUGGACCAAUUUUUUAACAGUAGAAAUGGAUAAAAUUUUUAACAGAAAGAUCAGUUUGCUUUUUGAUCUAAUGUACCAAGACUAAUUUUCCCAUUUUUUUUAGUAAAAGAGGUAAAAUGCAAUCCAACUUAUUUAACAGCCUUUUAGAUACUUUUACCCUAAAUGAAUGAUAAAAACUAAUAAUAACAGAUAUUUCUCAACUUCGGGUAAUUCUCUUGUACUCAUCUUCAAGUUAGAGCUUGAAGAUUUAAAAUGUCCAACAAUUCACAAAAUCGUCAUACUUAAGUGCUUUACUGAAUAUAUGAGCUAAUUAAUUUUGAGAAGAUAUCAAUCAAGAAACGAUAAUUUGUGAUUGGAUAUGCUAUAAAAUAAAAUGAUAAUCCAUUUUAGUGUGUUUUGUGGGCUUUUGAAAAUUGGAUUAGAUGCAAUGUUAAUGUCAACAUGAUUGAGGAAUCAGUUCAAUGUUUGUCACCUAAUAUCUUGCAAUUAGAUUUUUCGUCUUGCAAUUCGUAUAAUUUUAAGUGAUUUUUUAAAGUGUUUUGUAUUUAAAUUUUAUAGGAAUGCUUUUUAUUAAGGGAGUAUGUUUGGAAAAUGUCUAAUGGUUUGGGGGAGCUUUUCAAAAAUAUAAAUUUCACUUAAAUAUUAUUUAUAUCAAAAGAGUGGGGAAAUUGUUAGCUUUAAUUUAUAAAGUUUUUUAUAUAAUAAUAUUUAAGAUAAAUUUCACAUAUUUAUCCUUAAGUUAUUUUGUGAAAAAUUAUUAAAUAUCUAAUUAAAAAUUUUUAAGACUUUAAAAUACUCAAAAACAUGUUCUACAUAUGUUUUUUCUUAUAUCAAGAAUAAAGAAGGCUCGAGCGGUAUUGUUGGUUCAGGCUAGAUAUUCAAUGUAGGAGCUGUAAACAAUUUGGUCAUAUGGGGAAAGUGUGCAAGAAUAAGGGGCAAGCACAGCAACAAAAUGCUCAAGCAUAGACAUCAGAAGUAAAUCAAGAAGAAUUGAUGUCCGCUGCCUCCUACGGAAUCAAGCUCGCAACCUCAUACGAAGACCAGUUCGCUACCCCAUGCAAACCCUCCAACAAAGAUAGAAAGAACUAGCUUGUUGACAGUGGCUGCAAACCGCAUAACUUCAAAUGAAAGCAUCUUCAAACGAAUUGACAAAAGCUGCAUUGCAAAAGUCAAAAUUGGAAAUGACCAGAUUAUUAAGGCUAAGGGAAAAGGUGGUACACUCCAACAGGUACUAAAAUAAUUACAAAUGUGUUUUUAGUUCCUGAGUUGGAUCAAAUCUCCUUAGCAUUAAUCGGAUAGUUGCUUGAGAAAAAAUAUACUAUUGUUUUUAAAGAAAUAUGUUGCCUUAUAUUUGAUUCAUUAGGACAAGAAGUUGUGAUAGUCUCAAUGAAAAAUAUAAGUUUUAUGCUGGAUUGUAACCUUAUGGCCUCGAGAGCCUAUAUCAGUUCAGUGGAUAAAUCAUAUAUUAGUCAGAAAAAUUUGGUUGAGGAUAUGACUAAAGUUGAAGAUGAAGUUUUUGAUGACUUCCCUGUUAAAAGGCAUUAGGCCUAUUAUUGAAGCUUGUCAUAGAUGUGACUUAGUAGUGUUGGAGCCUCAAAUUUUGAAGAAGGUGCACAAGAAACAAAAUUGGAGUUCGCAACAUUAUGGCCAAAGAGGAGUGUUGCGAAGCGGCCAUUCAAAGCUGCGAGAGAGCUCAUCCAAAGCUGCGAGCUCACCAAAGCUACGAAGUCACCUAAGGUGCGAGGUCUGUUAGGCGAGCUUAUACAUGCGAACCCUUUCUCUGCAAGUUGCCAACUUGCUCUGAAACAAUAAAAUAGUUUGACAAGAUAUUUAGUUGCUGAUUAAACUAAAAUCCACUAAUAGAGGCAAAUUGUACUGUAUAAAUUUCAAGACUUGCCAAGUUAUAAUUAUUUAAUAUUAUUUUCAGCUUAUUUAAACAUUGUUGUACAUGUAAACUAUAAGCCAUAAUGAAUCAAAGAUCAUAACUUGAUUGCUUCAACUUUUAUUUGUUUUUACUUUCUGUCUCAAUCCAUUUUUAAUCAAAUAUCCAACAAAACUUUAUUUUAAAAUUAUUGUUUUGUUGUUCAAACUUGGUUGAUAAUUCCUCCGUGAUAGAUGUUGUUUAUGUUAUCAGUUUGAACUCUUUCCCUUAACUUUCUAUGAAAUUUAUCUUGGUUUCUUUAAACCUGAAGAGAUUUCUAAAAUAAUGAACUUGAAUAUCAAGAAUAAAUAGCUGUAAUGAUGAAUUCUAUUAAGAAACCUAACAAUUCAAGAAUUUAAACUAGUCCAAUAUUUGUUGUAUUUGAAACUUAGUAAAUGAGUCAAUGGCAUAUGUUAAAUACGGAUAUGGGUGCGGUAUAAUUGAGGUAGAACGAAGGGUGGCCUUUGGGUCAGACCAUUUUUUAGGUUUAAGCUCGGUUCUGCUUAAAAAUGAGCUUGAAAUUUUGUUCAAGCCCGAUACAAAUUAAAAAUGCUAAACCCAAAGUUCGACUUGAUCCUUUUAUAUUAAUUUUUUUAGAUUUUUUUAUAUAAAAACAACUUUAAAAAAUAUAAUAUGUCGAAACUAUUUUUUUUAUUUUGAAUUUGAAAACAACGGGGAUCGACUUUAAAAAACGAAAAUGUGGAGUCGCCACCAAUCCUUUUUGUUUAGGUGAGAUUGGAUCACCUAAUGAAAUAUUUUAUUCUAUUUAAAUCAAUUUUGGCCAACGUAAAUUUGAGAAAACGGGUUUGGGAGCCAGUUACGUAUGAGGAAGGAUUAGCAUCCUCACUACGCCCAAAAUUGGUACCAAAUCGAUUAAGCACUGUCCUUAUGUCUAAGUUUUAAAGCUGUUUUUGAAAUAUGGUUCCUUUUGAAGCAUUUGAAUGGCUCAAGUUGGUCGUCAAAAUUCUCUUGUUUCAGAGGAAUACAGCAUCACAUCCAGCACAAUAAGACACGAUCCUUUAUACUCUCGAAAACACGAUACAUUUUGACUUCCAAAAGUUUAUAUGUUAAAAAUUACAAAAAGAUGCCCAAUUAUUUAGUCCAACGAAAAAAUCGAAACCCAACACAGUAGGGCACGAUUCCUCGAAUUUCUAGACAUUGAACAUUGCCUUGUUUUAGAAUUUUUAAAACAUGAGUGAAAUUCUAAAGGAAUAUUCGAUUAUUUUGAACAAAAGGAAAAUUGCAACCCAGCACGAUAGGGCACGAUUCUCCGAAUUCUCAAACAUCGAACAUUGCCUUCGCUUUAAAGAAUUUUUAAAACAUGAGAGAAAUUCUAAAGGAAUAUUCGAUUAUUUUGAACAAACGGGAAAAUGUAACCCAGCACGAUAGGGUACGGUUCCUCGAAUUCUUAAGCAUCGAAUAUUGCCUUCGCUUUAAAGAAUUUUUAAAUGAAUAAUUAUAAAACCAACUUAAAACGUAUUAAUUUUACUUGAAAUAGAAUAAAAUAAUUAGUUUUAAAGAAUUGGACCUUAUAAACAACAUUUCAUAAACCAAAAGAAAAAUAAAAGCAUGGGAUAAUAUGUAUGCAUAAAAUACAAUGAUAGAUGAAUGAAGAUAAUAUAUCUUAUUUAAUCGGCUAACAAAAUAAACACUUAAAUAUAACUAACCUAAAAAAUAUAACCCAAUUUCAAUCAUGUGUGGAGAAUAAUUGAUAUAACAAUACAAAACAAUGAAUAAAUAAUAUGCAACGACAAUGUACAUAGUAUAAUAUAAAAACCAUUAACAUAAGAUGCACGGAACAAGAUGGAAAUUAGGAGUCAAUGUGGUAUAAGUCAAUUCUAAAACAAUGACGAUCUAAUGAACCCAUAAUUUAUACGACAUACGAAUUAAUGAAUUGAUGAAUUUAAAAAUAUUUGUAAAAAAAAAAAACUAGAGAUAUAUACGUAAUUAUUAAAAUAUGUGUUAUAAAAUAAAUAUUUUAAAAUCAAAUAUUAUAUAAAGUGUUAAAGAAUAUUAGUUUAAAAUUGACAAUUUUCAUACAAUAAGGAGAAUUUAAUUUAUUUAUAAAAUAUGAAAAGAUAAUAAAAAUAUAUAAUGAAAUAUAAUCUUGGGAGAUAAACCAUACACAUCAUAGAUUUACAAAUCAUAUAUAAAUUUAGAAAUAAUUAUUUAUAAAAAAUAACAUGGAAACGCAUACAAGAUUAAAUUAAUAUUACUAUAUAUGUACAGAUAUAUAAAAAAACAUUUAAAUGAGAUACUAUCUAAUAUACUAAAAGAAUACAAUAAAAUGACUUUCAAAAUAAUGAUUUUAUAAACAAAAAAUAAAUUUAAAACAAUGAUUUAACCAUUAAAAUAAUAUAUAUACGAAUACACACAAAAAUGUCUAAUGAGACAUUGUAUAUAUAAUAUGAUAAAACCAACUUCAAAAUAAUAAUAUAAAAAAAACAAAGCAAAAUUAAUAAAAUAGAUAAAAAUAUUAAAUGAAAUUUAAAAUGAUAAGUAUUUCAAAUAGAAAGCUUAAUAAAAUAAACUUAAAAAUGAAAGGGAUAAUUUAUAAAUAAAAGAAACCAAAAUAGGAGUCGGCGCGCAAUACAUGUAACUGUAUAAGGACUAAAACUAGAAAUAAUCUAGGCCCCAAAAAGCAGUGCAAUACCGCGGACUCAAAUGAAUACGCGCACAAAUUAAAGAGCCAAAUUAAAAAAAAGUAAAAGAAAUAGGGCGCAAUUGAAUGCUCGCGCGAAAGGAAGGAUCUAACGCGCAAAUUCCCCACUUCGAAUGAAAAGGCGCAGAUUCGGCCUGUUAAUCGGGUUAACGCGCGGACCCUUCCUGUUGUAAACGGCGUCGUUUUUUAAGAAAGGAUUUAAAGCCUUUUUCUUUUCUUCUUAAAAUGCAGCAAAUCAUUUAAAUAAAAAAAAGCAAUGCUAUCAACCCACUCAAUUAGGGUUUCAUCUAGCAUGCUGCCACUGUGUCCCCAUUAUUUUGGUGGCCGACGAUGCGCGAACGGUGGCCAGAUCUUACCAACGGAGGCCAUGACAAUAAAGAUCUGGUAAGUUUGUUUUUUUUCUUUUCUUAUUUUUUUUAAAAAAAAAACAUUCAAACCCUACACUAUUUUGUAAAAAAAACGAAAUAAAAUUCGAAGAAAUAAAAAAAAGGCCCCAUCAUCGUUCGACCCUCAUCCACAUCUCCAUGCUUCUGAGAUGUUUGGACUCUCAUCGGCGUCGGUUCAAAUAUUUCUUUCUUUUAUGCUAAAAUCGCAAGCAAAUGAGAAGAAAACCAAAAAAAUAAACAGACUUGAAAAUCACCUUUUGAUUUGUGAUUUCUGCUUUUUCUAUUGAUCUCUUUGUUGUAUGUGUAUAUAGUAUGCAUGCGUAAAAAAAAUACAAUGGAUUAUCUAUGGCUUUAUAGCUGAAAUGUUCAAAAAUAAAAAUACAAUUUUUCUUUUUCUUUCGUAUUGGUCGUUGCUGCUACUGUUUACUUGUUUUUUUUUCGCAGGUACGGAGUGUGUGCUGGCACUUGGCGUGAGGCGUACGGAGGCGCGUGUGGCGAUCGUACAGUGCUGGGGGCUGCGGCACGGUUUGGCUAGGGUUUUCCUUCCUGAAAUCAGAAAUUAGAUCGUUUGGGUCAUUGGGCCAUUUCUGUAUUUGGGCCUCUGGGUUCAUUGGGUUAAGAUUAUUAGGCUAUUCGGGUUAGGUUUAGUUCAGGCCCGAGAAUUUGUAAAUGAACUUUUAAAUUCUGACUGUUAUAAGAUUUGGAUUUUAUAUUUAUUUUGUAUUUCGAUUUUGAUGUGGACCCGAGCAAAUUGGCCCGUUUACAGCUGCCUAUCUUUGCUCAUUGUCAUGUAACGAGAAUAGAGCAAAGACUUCAAAGAGGGCCAAUUUUGCCCGGUCUCGCGGAAUCAUGACUUCUUUGGUGUUCUUCUUCUUCGAGGUAGCCUCGUUCCGAUCCUCUACAACUUCAGAGAUAUAGGAAUUGUUGCUCCUAUCUACUUCACCGUAACUCUAGAGAGACUAGCCUUGUAGCUUUUAAUCUGCUCUACCGCAAUUGCUCCACUGCAACCUCAGGGAGAUAUGGUUCGUAUAUUUUUAUCCUGCUCUACUGCAACUUCAGAGAGAUAAGCAUUGUGAUUUCGAUCUGCUUCACUGCAACUUUAAGGAGAUAAGAUCUGUUAACUUUAUUCUGUUCCACUGCAACUGCUCCAUUGCAACUUAGGGAGAUAAGAUCUACAAUCUUCGGCCUAUUACCCUACUACUUAGGGGGUUAAGGCUCACUAUCUUCGAUUUGCUCCAGUACUGCUUAGGGAGACAAGAUCUACAAUCUUUAGCCUGUUACCCUACUACUUAGGGGGUUAAGGCUCACUGUCUUCGAUCCGCUCCACUAUUGCUUAGGGAGAUAAGAUCUGUGAAUUCACUGAUGUUGCUACACUGUCUUCUAGGAACAUGAUCUGUAGAAUCGGUUUUCUGUACCUAUGCUUAUGCCAAAUGAUUAGGAUGCCAUGAUCAAAAUGAGUCAAAUGCUCCUAACUAAAUGAAUGAUUAUGAAUGUAGAAAUGUCAUGAGAGUGAUUCCUUUUUAAAUGCUUAAGGUAUCAUUGCUCAUAGUUCAUCAGGGUUCUAUCAUUGAUGUGCUAUCGUGUCUUCUUGUUUGGCCAGUAUCUUUGCAGAAAAUUUGAAGAAAUAGUCACAAUUUGGACUAUUUGUUUUCCAAUGUUUCCAACUUUUGAAUCUGGUUAAUCCUGACUAGUGGCCCUGUUUUAGGUCAUUGUACUAUUGAGAGACCUUCUAGAGUAAUAUGCAUAACUUCUUUUGUAUGAAUAUUAUAAGUCCAAAAAUUGUGAUUUUAACAAAAAUGCUCGAAAGAGACUAUCAUAAUGGACAAGAUGGAAUUUUAUUGAGCAAAACUCAAAGUGAAUAAAUUAAACAGGAUAGCAAAUCUGCUAAGGUACAAAAUAAGAUGAGAAAAAAGGUGCCCCAGAUAUCGCAGCACGAGCUUCACUAUUUCGACUUCUCAAAGGUCAUUUCGAGCUAAAUAUGUGUUCAGGAGAUCCCGCGUAUUUUGUUGAUGCUCCAAGAUGUACUGUUCUUCCUUCUUGUUAAUUUGGGAGGACAAUACUACCACAUGCCCUGUAUUCAAAAUUUGAGCUGCUCGUUUUCGGGUUUUCAACUCAAAAACCCCUUUGGUCUCAAAGCGCCCUUUGCGGGUUUUCACCUUGGCCUCUCCAUAUUUUUUUUUGGAAGGUCUUAAAGCACCCUAUGUGGGUUUUCACUUUGACCUCUUUCCCUCUUUAAGUGUAGUACUUCUUGACGGAAUUUGAAUUCACAGGAUUGGACAGGUUUUUCCCAUCUAUUUUGGCUAGAAUUAAUUCUCCUCCGGAGAAAGCUUUCUUCACCACGUAAGGCCCCUCCCAAUUGGGCAUCCAUUUUCCUCUAAAAUCCUUCUGUAUAGGAAAGAUUUUUUUCAGAACCAGAUCUCCCUCAUGAAACUCUCUUGGGUGAACCUUUUUGCCAUAAGCCCGCAUCAUUCAUUUUUGGUACAUUUGACCAUGACGGGUAGCUCUUAGCCUUUUUUCUUCAAUCAAGUUCAAUUGAUCGUAUCGAGACUGGAUCCACUCUGCUUCAUCUAACUUUAGCUCCGACAACACUCGAAGGGAUGGGAUCUCGACUUCGAUUGGCAAAACCGCUUUCAUUCCGUAGACCAAAUAGAAAGGUAUUGCCCCAGUAGAGGUUUUGACUGAUGUUCGAUAAGUAAAGAUGGAAAAUGGUAACUUCUUAUGCCAAUCUUUUUAGGUUUCAGUCAUCUUCCCCACAAUCUUCUUAAUGUUUUUAUUGGCUGCUUCCAUUGUCCCAUUCAUUUUCGGGUGAUAUGGUGACGAGUUGUGGUGUCUGAUCUUGAAUUGACUGCAGACUUCCGCUAUUGUACUAUUGUUCAAGUUUAAUGCAUUAUCAGAUAUGAUCCUCUCCAGCAUUCCAUAUCGACAUAUGAUCUCCUUUUUUAGGAAUUUGCUCACUGCCGACUUUGUAACAUUGGCAUAUGAAGCGGCUUCUACCCAUUUGGUGAAGUAGUCGAUAACCACAAAGAUGAACAGAUGCCCAUUGGAAGCUUUCGGUGAUAUUGGUCCAAUCACAUCCAUACCCCACAUAGAGAAAGGCCAUGGGGAAGUCAUGACAUGCAGCGGUGAAUGAGGCACAUGAAUUUUGUCUCCAUAGAUUUGGCAUUUAUGACAUCUCUUUGAGUAAUGGACACAGUCUCCUUCCAUAGUGGACCAAUAAUACCCGAAUCUCAUAAAUUUCCUGGCCAUUCUAAAGCCAUUAGCGUGUGUCCCACAGAUGCCCUCAUGGACUUCUUACAAGAUUUUCUUAGCCUCUACAGCGUCUACGCAUCUUAAUAGUACUUGAUCCUUUCUUCUUUUGUAUAGGAUCUCCCCAUCUAAGACAUAGUCAAUGGCCAAUCUUCUCAGCGUCCUUUUGUCAUUCUCGCUUGCCUAGUCCGAGUACUCACGAUUCCUUACGUAUUGCAAUAUAUCGUGAUACCAUGGGUGAUCAUCUUUUUCUUCAUCUUCUUCAAUAUUGUAACAGUGAACCGGAGUUUCAUAAAUGCUCAUCCGGAUGGGUUUGACAUAUUCUUGUUUGUUUACCUUGAUCAUGGAAGCUAAGGUGGCCAAAGCAUCAGCCAUCUAAUUUUCGUCCCGUGAAAGGUAGCAGAAGGUAAUGUCAUCGAACUCUUUAACCAAUUCAAGGACCAGUUUUUGAUAAUCGAUCAACUUGGGAUCUCUGGUCUCCCAUUCUCCCUUGAGUUGAUAAAUCACUAAUGCAGAAUCUCCAUACACCUCUAACUCUUUAAUCUUAUGUUCUAUGGCUGAACGGAUACCUAUGAUGCACGCUUCGUAUUCUGCCAUGUUAUUCGUACAAUCAAAAUCCAAUUUACUAGUAAAUAGAUAAUGAUCUCCGUUUGGGGAUACCAAGACUGCCCCGAUUCCAUUGCCCACAGCAUUUGAUGCCCCAUCGAAGUUUAGUUUCCAGGAAAGUUCUUCCAGAGCACCUUCUCCAGUGGUCGCAACACACAUCAGGUCUUCAUUCGGAAAAUCGAAGUUCAAGAGCUCAUAAUCUUCCAAAGCUCUACUGGCCAGAAAAUCUACUAUUGCACUCUAUUUUACUGCUUUCUGGUUCACAUAGACUAUGUCGAAUUCAGAGAGCAGAAUUUGCCAUCGGGCCAUCCUUCUAUUCAAAGCUGUUGACUCCAUCAUGUACUUAAAGGGUCCAGUUUUGAGAUGAGCCAAGUAGUGUGAUACAACAUAUACUGUCUCAACCUUCGGAUUGUCCAAACCAAGGCACAACACAACUUUUUUAUCAGCGGACAUCUUAUCUCACAUUCAGUAAACUUUUUACUAAGAUAGUAAUAGCUUUUUCUUUCCUUCUUGACUCAUCAUGCUGACCAAGUACGCAUCCCAUAGAAUUCUCAAAUACUGCCAAAUACAGUAUCAAUGGCUUAUCGGGGUUAAGUGGCAUCAGCACCGGAGCGUUGGAUAAGUACUGUUUGACCUUGUCGAAAGCCCUUUGGCAUUCUUCAUCCCAUACACCUAGGUUAUGUUUCUUGAGGAGGUGGAAAAUGGGGUCACAUUUUUCGGUUAGUUGUGAAAUGAACUGAGUGAUGUAAUUUAAUCUUCCUAGAAAGUCUCGAACCUCUUUUUGGGUACGCGGUAGAGAUAGCUCUUGUAUGGCUUUGACUUUGUCUGGAUCGAUCUCAAUUUCUUUCUCACUAACCACGAAUCCGAGAAGCUUUUCAGACUUGGCUCCGAAGGUACAUUUGGUUGGAUUGAGUUUUAGCUGAAACUUCCUCAACCUGAAGAACAACUUCCUCAAGACUUGUACGUGCUCCUUCUCUGUUCGGGACUUUGCGAUCAUAUCAUCGACAUAAAAUUUGAUUUAUUUGUGCAUCAUGUCGUGAAUCAGGGUUACCAUGACCCUUUGAUAUGUUGCCCCUGCUUUUUUCAGUCCAAAUGGCAUCACAUUAUAGCAGAACGUGCCUCACAUGGUUACAAACGUAAUCUUCUCCAUGUCUUCAGGAUGCAUCUUGAUCUAGUUAUAUCCAGAGAAACCGUCCAUGAAGGAAAACAGUGAGUGUCCUACCGUGUUGUCCACUAAGGUGUCGAUAUGAGGCAGUGAGAAAUUAUCUUUCAAGCUAGCGUUAUUCAAAUCUCUGUAGUCUAUACAUAUUUGUACUUUUCCAUCCUUCUUAGGGACGGGGACGAUGUUAGCUACCCAUUCUGAGUAUUUUACCACCUUUAAAAAUUCAGCGUCAAACUACUUUCUAACCUCUUCUUUUAUUUUUUAGCAAGAUGUCGGGCCUCAUUCUUCGGAGUUUUUGUUGAACUGGCUUACAUUCUUCUUUUAUAGGGAGUCGGUGCACCACAAUAUCAGUGUUUAACCCAGGCAUAUCUUGGUGUGACCAUGCAAGACAUCUUUGAAUUCUUGAAGUAAUUCGAAAAUGUCUCACUUCAUCCCCAUGGUGAUACAAGUUCCGAUCUUCACCUCUUGUCCCUCUCAUAAGAUUACAAUUUCUACUAAUUCUUUGUGAGGUAGGAUUUGUUCCUCGUCUUGUUUUACUAUCCUCAACAAAUCAGGGGAUAUGUUACAGCCUUGGUCAUCUUCAAAAUCCUGAGAAUCCUCCAUACACAUAUCUCGCUCAAAAGGAGACUCUGAGCCACUAGCAGUGUCACUCGUAUCAUUGAUAUCUAGGGACCUGUUAUAAGGAUGAAGGAAGAUACAAAGAACCAAAAGAUAUGGUAUGAUUAUGAAUGAAGAACGAAAGGAUAUUUAGAAGAAUGUUCGAAGGACAAAAGAAUCCGAAAGUAAUCAUUUGUAUAAUAUGAUUAUGAAUGAAAAGGAAAGAAUGAAAGAAUAUCUGCUCAAAAUGAUAAUAAUUGUGCAUUUUAUUAAAAUAACAUUUUUGAACAUAAGCCUAUUUCACAAAAGAUUCUUAUUACUUCUAGGCCUAGAGCAAUAAGUGUGUUUUGGACAUUACUCUGAGUCAGCUCUAAAAACUACAGGAAUCUCUUCCACAGUCCAGUUAUCCAGAAUACUUCCAGGUAUGUAGGGGUAAAUAUCCGACAAAUUUUUUCCUCCAGCCCCUUCAUCGUAUGUGGCGUUGAUGUCUAAGUUUUCUAACUUUUCUUCUAUGGCUUCCUUUCUUGGCGUGCCCCGCUCGGGAUGAAUGAUUCCUCCAGACACAAAAGUUUUCGAUAUAUGGGGGAAUAUCAUUGGCUCCCAUUUGAUUUUCUCUCCCUUCAACCGUGCUUUUCUUCUUUCUUGUUUCUUUUCCAGCUCAUUUUUCCUUUGUCUCACAUCCGACUUAAAUCCUAAGCCGAAGCGGUCUCUCUUGUCCUUCAAUACUAGCAUUUCAACCCUUCCUUGAAGAUGUCUCUUGAGUCCUCUUCCCGGUAAAGCUCCUUUUCUAACCAUCAACUGUAGACUCAUCCUUGUAGUUUUGGAUAAUUUCAGCGUCAGGAUCUUGCUUCUUCAGUAAUAAAUGUCGCAUUAAAAAAUUCUAAAGACCGAAAUGAGCAUUCGAUUGCUUCGUUAUCUGUCUUUAAAUAGGGUGCAUCACUGCUUACAGUUGCAAUAAUAUCCUCUUCAGCAUUUAUCGUUAUCAACCGCCCCUCUGAUACUAACUUCAACUUCUGAUGCAACGAUGAAGGCACUACCCCAGCUGAAUGUAUCCAGGGCCUCCCCAAUAAGCAGUUGUAUGAAUGCUUAAUAUUCAUCACCAGAAAAUCCACCUCAUAUGUGUUUGGUCCGAUCAGAAGAGGUAUCUCAAUUCUUCCCAUCACCUUUCUCUCUGUGCCAUCUAAUGCCCUCAUUAUAUUCUGGCACUCUUUUAUGUGAGAGCUGUCUACAGGUAAUCUGUUUAGUGUGGACAGUGGUAGGAUAUUCAAGGCUGACCUGUUGUCAAUCAGUACUCCUGGCAGCGUAUACCCUUUAUAACACGUGGUGAUAUGUAAAGCUUUAGUCGACCCUAUGCCACUGGGUGGUAUCUCAUCGUCGUUGAAGAAGAUAAAGUUAUCGGCACUUAUGUUGCUAACUAAGCGAUCUAACUUGUUGACGAAGAUAUCAUUGGCAACAUAUGUUUCAUUCAAAACUUUCAUCAGCGCGUUGCGAUAGACCUCUAAACUUAGGAGUAAGGCCAGCACCGAGAUAUGAGCUGGUUGUUUAUGCAGCUGUUCCACAACACUGUACUCGCUGUGCUUUAGAAAUUUUAAAAACUCCUUAGCCUCAUCUUCGUUAACUGGUUCAUUAACAAGAAGUUCAUAUUUGGCCGUUUUUUUCCUUCUUCUGAUGACCACUAUGGCUUUUCCUUUUGAGGGUUUUACUUUCUCGCUUGCUGUAUCGUAGCAUCACCCCCUACGCGUAGAGGAGCCCAUAUCUUGGUCCUCUUUUGAAGCGUCAUCCAGGUUCUCUUUUCCUGGGAUCGUCACGUUACAAUCGUAAUUCCAUAAGACCCUCUUACUGUUUUUAUAGGAGAAGACUGCAGGUCUUUGGAUUAUGACCCUUGGUGGCUUUUGCACUCCCAUUUCAUUAUUUUUAGGUCAUGAUAUGAUGACCACAGGGUAGUUAAUUGUUUGGUUCUGAGCUGUCAAUUCUCCCUCUGACGCGCAUAUAUCUCCUUCUUCGGGGUUUUCGAUUUCUUUAUAAAACUCCAUUUCUCUAUUGUUCAUCAUGUCCUGUACCAGGGCCCUGAACUCCACACACUCUUGAAUUUCAUGCCCCACCUUAUUGUGGAACUCACAGCAGUUCCUCUCUUCUUCAGAUUCUUCUCUCGAAUCCAACACGAUCAAUCCUCUCUUGACCAUCUCCUUCCACACCCGUCUCAAUGGGGUCCUGACUUCUGCAACCUCAUAUUUGAUCUUCUUGCUUCUGCUUUCGUUUAUCCCGUUUACUCCUUGGUCCGUAUGAUUGGGGAGCGGGUUUCCUGCUACAUUGGGUACGACUGGGUCGUCAAACCUUACAAUACCCCUUUAAUAAAUCUUUCAAAUAGUUUCUUGAACGCGGUGCAGUUUUCAGUUGAAUGCCCGGUGAUUCUUGCAUGGUAUUCGCAUUGGGCAUUUGUGUCAUACCAUUUGAGAAACGGGGGUUGCAGUGGCUUCAGGUGGAAAGGGGACACUACAUGAGCGUUGAAUAGGUUCUGGUACAGUUCCCUAUAUGUCAUGGGUAUAGGCGUGAAUUGUAGCCUUUCUGUGUUCGCCCUCACGCUAGAUUCUUGUCUCACAGUGCUAUGUUGAUUGGCAGUCACCGUCUUUGGUUGGUUUACAGUGAGUGACUUGGACUGACCCUUGCUAAAUGUACUCGUGUUGUUUACUUCGUUAUCUCUUUUCCUCGGGGCUAAUCUUUUGGUACUUUCUCCUACUUCUAUUUUACCACUCCUCACAGUAUUUUCAAUCAUUUCACCUGUCAUCACUAUGUCUGAUAAGCUUUUAGUGGCACUCCCUAACAUAUGAGUGAUAAAAUGAGCCUUCAAAGUGUUGAUAAAGAGCAUUGUGGUUUCUUUUUCUAAAAGCGGUGGCUGAACUUGUAUGGAAACUUCUCUCAAUCUUUGCAUAUAUUGUCUGAAACUUUCAUUUGGUUUCUUCUCCAUAUUCUGGAGAGUAAUCCUGUCAGGAGUCAUAUCCGUCACAUGACUAUACUAUUUCAUAAAGGUUUAAGCUACGUCUUUCCAUGAGUUAAUCUUAGCACGACUCAAUUGGUUAUACCAUUUGGAUGCCGACCCAACCAGACUGUCCUGAAAGCAGUGAAUCAAUAGCUGGUCAUUGUUGAUGUAUCCAGUCAUUCGUCUGCAAAACAUAGUAAUAUGAGCUUCAGGGCAGCUCGUUCUAUUGUAUUUCUCAAAUUUCGACAUUUUAAACUUGGGGGGUAGAACCAAGUCUGGGACCAAACUCAGGUCCUUAGUGUCAAUUCCGUGAUGACUAUCAGCACUUUUCAUUGCCCGAAAUUUUUCCUCUAGCCAUUUAUGCUGUUUCUCUAAUUGCUUCUGUGAUUCUAUCCUUGCCUUUUCCUCCUCCGCGACUUCAUCUAAAUCAGGAAUGAGUGGAUAAUUCGAGUUAUUAACAAGGUUAAAGCCUGAGCCAGCUUAGAAAUUCAUUGGUAUCGAAGCUCCGGCCUGAAUCUGUUGAGGCCUGAUCGUAACAAAUGGUCUCUGUAGAUUAAUUUCAGGUUGUAUCGGUACAUGUGUCGGAGUAAAGCCAGGAGGAUAUUGAGGGUCUUCAUUAUUUUCCCCAACAUUGUCCAUGGGACCCUUUCCUUUAUCCAUUAUUCCCAUCAGCAAUUGGAACAACUGACUCAUCAUCUCUCUUUGAGAUUCCAUCAUUUGCUCUUUUAUCUCUUGCUGAAUCUUGGCUAGCUACUCUUGCAUCUGUGACUGCAUUUGUUCAUGCAUGUCCUUUUGCAUUUGCUCUAAUUUCUCAAGUCUUUUGUCCAUUGACUUGGUCUUUUUCCUUGUACUGUAAGGGUGAGUAGUUGGUUGGUUUUCGUUGGUUUCCAGAUUACUAUAAUAAUUUUUAAUUGAUUAGAAUCUUUUUAUGACUUUUAAUGCAUAUGAUAUAAUGCAAUACAAAUGCAUGAAUGCAAAGGAGGCAUCAAUUCUGAUUCAAUUCCCUUUAAAAAACUUCACUAGAAAAUAAGAUUCUUUACAUAAAACUGAGUUACAAAUAAAACUUCGCCCUAAUGCUUAGAGCCUUAAUUUUCCUAAGCAACGAGGCUAGCUCCUGCCCCCGAUCUGACUCCAACUCAUGCUUCACGCUCAGUAUGUCCGCUUGUACCGCUAAAGCUUGCAAAUAUUCGGCUACCUCCCAAAUCUGGGCUAUGGCUUCCCCCAUAAUGUAAUCCCUGUUCCUGACUUGGUCUUGUGCAUGGUGAAGCUGUUCCUUCCAACAUUCCUCACUUGCUUCAAAAAACUAGAUCCGCAUCUCAGCUUUGUAGUGACACUUCUAAUUCUUAUACUUUUCCUUUCAUUUCUUCCACCUUACUCAAGCUUGCCCUCAACUCCGUUACGGUAUUAUGGCUUCAGCACUGAUAAAGAGACUUCUCAAGUUCUGCCACUCUAGCUCUUAAUUCACCUCGUUUAUUUCUGCUUUCUGAUAGAAUCUUCUCUAAAUCCUCAUUUCGUGCCUGAGCCUCUCGAAAUUUUCUUUCCCAUCGGUCGGCUUUGGUUUUUUCCUUUCGAAUUUAAUGGCGCCAUUAUUCUGAAGUUUUGCCUAACCCAGCAGUUCUCAUAGACAGGUGUAACUUCUUAUAAUCCGUCUUCAAACUAUCUAGAUCCUCUUCGCCUUACUUUUUCCUUUUCUCCACUUCUCAGCCUCUGACCUCUAAGCGUCUACGUCUAAUCUCAGAUGUAUCUUUUCUUCCUCCAAUUGUUCGAUCUUUUUCCCAAGCUCAGAACUCUUCUUUUCAAAGUCUUGCUUUAUAAUUUCCAACUCUGACGGGACAACUUGUAAUUGUUCCUCCACAGGUCGAGUAUCUUCUACACUUAGUCUAAGAAUAUUGUCAUUGACCCUUUUUAUAAACCAUCUGUUGUAUUUAGGUGUCACCAUGGAACCAACAGCCAACCUCUUCAUCCAGCGAGUUUUCUUCCAAGCAUCAGAUAGUUCCCGAACCUUCUUCUUAUAGUGGUCACCUUUAAAGGAGAAUUCACACUGAGUAAGCCCGUAAGUCGUGGGUACAAACUGCCUCGAUUUAUAUUACCUUAAUGCAAGCAAUGGAGUAUACCCAGUAGCUCCCCAAAUUCUUAACAACGGUACCCAAUCAAAGUUCCCACAUUGAUACAGGAUUUCAUCAGGAACAAAUCCAAUAAGCUCUCCACUCUAUAUCCAUCUCCUUGAGGUUUUGGAGGAUUUCCAUCCACUUCUCCUCUGAUAUAUCCUCUCUCCUUUGUAUGGCUGCCUCCUCCUUUAACGGGGAAUAACCUUCGGAAAAGACCUGGUAAGAAAUCUUGUCUACUUUCCAAAAAUGCCCAUGAAACCACAUCAUCAACAGUUGUGCAUAUCCAAUAAACUGCCCCUCGCCUGUCUUCCGACACAUGCUCAAGGAUCUGAACAUCUCAGCCAAGAUUGCAGGUACAUGUGUGAUUCCGUUUUUAAACCGAUCGAAUAAGUUAGUGACUACCUCAUCCACAUGCCUUAAAGCCUUAAGAAAAAUGACCAAUCCAUAGAUGCUUAAGGCGAAGAUAUCGACCCUCUUUCUUUCAUCCGGGUGUGUUAAAACCAAAUCUCUCAAAUUUUCCUAAGGGAUACAUUUACUAUCCCCCUUCUGUUGAAUCCGAGCGGUAACCCAAGGCUCGCUCAUCCCUGAAAUAUUCAUCAAUUUCUUCGCGAAAGUUUGACCAUUAAAAACCUUGGCAUAAGCUUUCCUAACUUGAAUUUUUGGACACUUGAGUAGGGUAGUAUAUUCCUCUAUGGUAGGCACUAAAUCCAUUUCCCCAAAAGUGAAACACUUGUAAGCAGAAUUCCAAAAUUGAACCAUAACUCGGAACAGAUGCUUGUCCACUUUAACAUCUAGCAAAUAGGAUAUAUCACCAUAGCUUUGAUAGAACAACUGUUUGGUUCCUUCCCAUAUAUCUCUCAACUCUUGCAACUCAUUUUGUGUUACAUUGACGCGAGUGAAUUCCUGCAACUCUGAUGUAUAUCCUUCUGCCAAGCUAUCCCCUUUUUCUAACUGUAACUUCUCUGACCAUGCGCGGACGGCCGCAUUAUCCUCAACUUUAUUAAGAAAUUCAUUCUCUAUGUUAAACUUUCUAACUUAGUAAUCGAAUACGAAUCAACACCUCCUUUAGUAUGCAAUGUCAUGCAAAACACAAUCAAAACAAAACACAAGUUAGUAUCAAAUAUAAGUGAUAAAAUACUAGCACAACAAAGAUAGUUAUAACACACAUAUGGGCAAAUACUAAGUCUUGAUGCGGCUCUACCUAAGAGUAGCUCUUAAGGUCCACUAUAUAUGGUUCGAUUUUAGAGAUAAGGUACCUGAACCAGCAGAUUCCUCAAUCCUCACCCAUUAUAGGCUCAUAUGGAUCGAGUUCGAUUCAGGGGAAUACAUUUCCCUAUGACCAUGCGGAGAUGAAAAUCUCACGAAAUCAUAAGUACGGAUGUAUCCCAGAAGCAAUCCACUAGCCCAUUCGGAGGUGAAAACCUCACGAAAGCAUAGUUUCUUACUCCCACUUAGAAGGUGUGACCACAGCGGUAAUGCAAUGCAAUGCAGUAUUAUUCUACAAGAUCCGAACCAUAACGAUCAUACAAUCAAAUGCAAUUGGAAGAAUCAUGAUUUUCAAAACAAAUUUUCAAUUUCUUUGACAAAAGGACAACGAAUAAUCAAUUUUAUGGCUUGACUCUCUUGUUCGUUUCCCCAGUGGAGUCGACAAGCUGUCGAAACUAUUUUUUUUAUUUUGAAUUUGAAAACAACGUGGAUUGACUUUAAAAAACGAAAAUGUGGAGUCGCCACCAAUCCUUUUUGUUUAGGUGAGAUUGGAUCACCUAAUAAAAUAUUUUAUUCCAUUUAAAUCAAUUUUGGCCUACGUAAAUUUGAGAAAACGGGUUCGGGAGCCGGUUACGUAUGAGGAAGGAUUAGAACCCUCACUACGCCCAAAAUUGGUACCAAAUCGAUUAAGUACUGUCCUUAUGUCUAAGUUUUAAAGCUGUUUUUGAAAUAUAGUUCCUUUUGAAGCAUUUGAAUGGCUCAAGUUGGUCGUCAAAAUUCUCUUGUUUCAGAGGAAUACAGCAUCCCAUCCAGCACGAUAGGACACAAUCCUUUAUACUCUCGAAAACACGAUACAUUUUGACUUCCAAAAGUUUAUAUGUUAAAAAUUACAAAAAGAUACCCAAUUAUUUAGUCCAACGAAAAAACCAAAACCCAGGACAGUAGGUCACGAUUCCUCGAAUUUCUAGACAUUGAACAUUGCCUUGUUUUAGAAUUUUUAAAACAUGAGUGAAAUUCUAAAGGAAUAUUCGAUUAUUUUGAACAAAAGGGAAAUUGCAACCCAACAUGAUAGGGCACGAUUCUCCGAAUUCUCAAACAUCGAACAUUGCCUUCGCUUUAAAGAAUUUUUAAAACAUGAGAGAAAUUCUAAAGGAAUAUUCGAUUAUUUUGAACAAAUGGGAAAUUGCAACCCAGCACGAUAGGGCACGAUUCCCCGAAUUCUCAAGCAUCGAACAUUGCCUUCGCUUUAAAGAAUUUUUAAAUGAAUAAUUAUAAAACCAACUUAAAACGUAUUAAUUUUACUUGAAAUAGAAUGAAAUAAUUAGUUUUAAAGAAUUGGACCUUAUAAAACAACAUUUCGUAAAUCAAAAGAAAAAUAAAAGCAUGGGAUAAUAUGUAUCCAUAAAAUACAAUGAUAGUUGAAUGAAGAUAAUAUAUCUUAUUUAAUCGGCUAACAAAAUAAACACUUAAAUAUAACUAACCUAAAAAAUAUAAUCCAAUUUCAAUCAUGUGUGGAGAAUAAUUGAUAUAACAAUACAAAAAAAUGAAUAAAUAAUAUGAACGACAAUGUACAUAGUAUAAUAUAAAAACCAUUAACAUAAGAUGCAUGGAACAAGAUGUUAAUUAGGAGUCAAUGUGGUAUAAGUCAAUUCUAAAACAAUAACGAUCUAAUGAACCCAUAAUUUAUACGACAUACGAAUUAAUGAAUUGAUGAAUUUAAAACUAUUUGUAAAAAAAACAAGCUAGAGAUAUAUACGUAAUUAUUAAAAUAUGUGUCAUAAAUUAAAUAUUUUAAAAUCAAAUAGUAUAUAAAGUGUUAAAGAAUAUUAGUUUAAAAUUGACAAUUUUCAUACAAUAAAGGAGAAUUUAAUUUAUUUAUAAAAUAUGAAAAGAUAAUAAAAAUAUAUAAUGAAAUAUAAUCUUGGGAGAUAAACCAUACGCAUCAUAGAUUUACAAAUCAUAUAUAAAUUUAGAAAUAAUUAUUUAUAAAAAAUAACAUGGAAACACAUACAAGAUUAAAUUAAUAUUACUAUAUAUGUACAGAUAUAUAAAAAAACAUUUAAAUGAGAUACUAUCUAAUAUAAUAAAAGAAUACGUUAUAAUGACUUUCAAAAUAAUGAUUUUAUAAACAAAAAAUAAAUUUUAAAACAAUGAUUUAACCAUUAAAAUAAUAUAUAUACGAAUAUACACAAAAAUGUCUAAAUGAGACAUUGUAUAUAUAAUAUGAUAAAACCAACUUCAAAAUAAUAAUAUAAAUAAAAAAACAAAGCAAAAUUAAUAAAAUAGAUAAAAAUAUUAAAUGAAUUUUAAAAUAAUAAGUAUUUCAAAUAGAAAGCUUAAUAAAAUAAACUUAAAAAUGAAAGGGAUAAUUUAUAAAUAAAAGAAACCAAAAUAGGAGUCGGCGCGCAAUACAUGUAAAUGUAUAAUGACUAAAACUGGAAAUAAUCUAGGCCCCAAAAAGCAGUGCAGUAUCGCAGACUCAAAUGAAUACGCGCACGAAUUAAUGAGCCAAAUUAAAAAAAAAAAACAAAGUAAAAGAAAUAAGGCGCAAUUGAAUGCUCGCGCGAAAGAAAGGAUCUAACGCGCAAAUUCCCCACUUCGAAUGAAAAGGCGCAGAUCCGACCUGUUAAUCGGGUUGACGCGCGGACCCUUCCUGUUUUAAACGGCGUCGUUUUUUAAGAAAGGAUUUAAUGCCUUUUUCUUUUCUUCUUAAAAUGCAGCAAAUCAUUUAAAUAAUAAAAAAAAAACAACGCGAUCAACCCACUCAAUUAGGGUUUCAUCUAGCAUGCUGCCGCCGUGUCCUCAUUAUUUUGGUGGCCGACGAUGCGUGAACGGUGGCCAGAUCUUACCAACGGAGGCCACGACAAUAGAGAUCUGGUAAGGUUUUUUUUUUCUUAUUUUUAAAAAAAACCUUCAAACCCUACACUAUUUUGUAAAAAAAACGAAACAAAAUUUGAAGAAAUAAAAAAAGGCCCCAUCAUCGUUCGACCCUCGUCCACAUCUCCAUGCUUCUGAGAUGUUUGGACUCUCAUCGGCGUCGGUUCAAAUAUUUCUUUCUUUUAUGCUAAAAUCGCAAGCAAAUGAGAAGAAAACCAAAAAAAUAAACGGACUUGAAAAUCACAUUUUUAUUUGUGAUUUCGGCUUUUUCUAUUGAUCUCUUUGUUGUAUGUAUGUAUAGUAUGCGUGCGUAAAAAAAAUACAAUGGAUUAUCUAUGGCUUUAUAGCCGAAAUGUUCAAAAAUAAAAAUACAAUUUUUCUUUUUCUUUCGUAUUGGUCGUUGCUGCUGCUGUUUGCUUGUUUUUUUUCGCAGGUACGGAGCGUGUGCUGGCACUUGGCGUGAGGCGUACAGAGGCGAGCGUGGCAGUCGUACGGUGCUGGGGGCUGCGGUGCGGUUUGGCUAGGGUUUCCCUUCCUGAAAUCAGAAAUUGGGUCGUUUGGGUCAUUGGGCCAUUUCUGUAUUUGGGCCUCUGGGUUCAUUGGGUUAGGAUUCUUAGGCUAUUCGGGUUAGGUUUAGUUCAGGCCCGAGAAUUUGUAAAUGGACUUUUAAAUUUGGACUGUUAUAAGAUUUGGAUUUUAUAUUUAUUUUGUAUUUCGGUUUUGAUGUGGACCCAGGCAAAUUGGCCCGUUUACAUAAUACAUCAAAUACAUUAAAAAUGUUAAA